rnacentral:lncRNA from 1 species
UGGGUGUAGGUAAAAAAAGUAUAUCUACUCCAGAAAAUUUGUAUUUCUAUGUGUCACAUUUUAUAAUUUGAAAGUUUAAUAAUAAAAUAUCUUUUUGGCCAAACGUACUAAGUGACACAUGAAAUAACACACAUUCUAUAAGACAACAAAUAUGUUUCAAUAGAGUAAAAAGUAAAAAAGUAUUUUAAGAAAAAAAAAAAAAUCCAGGGGGGGCAGCUGCCCCCACCUGUACCUUCCAUGCUCCGCCCAUGUGCAGAAGGUGAGAGUGAAUGAAUGAUAGAGGAGAGGAAUGAAUCACAAUGUAUAUUACUUGCCUUGAGUUUUAGAGAGUACAUACUAUUUAUAGAAACCAGUUAGUAACAGAAAAAAACUAACUUUCUGUUUAUAGUAAGAAUUACAAAAAUGCUUAACACAUAUAUCCAGUCUUUUUGGAUUUUUUCCAAUGCUUAUUCUUCCCGUUAUCUUUCUCUCUUCUCUGUCCACUCGUAACCAGUUUUAUCUGGCAAAUAUACAUUCUUUUUAUUUCUUUUUUUUUUUAUAAAUUAUAUCAUAUGAUUCUGUUUUUAUUCUUUUUUUAAUAAAUAAUAGUAAGGAGUUAAACACUACCUAUGCUUCUGUUUUGUGUUUUAAUAUAUUGAGAUUAAUGAAAACAAUAAUAAUUACCGUAGUAAAAUAAUGAAAUAACAAAUGUCCUUUUUGGUGAAAUGUAUAUUUAUACAAAUAUAUAAAUGAAAAACAUAAAAUUUCAACUUUUAUAUUUUGCUGUAAAUAUUAUUUAAUUUCUAUAUACAAAAAAACAUAAUCCUAAGUAACCACCACCAACCAUUAACAUUCAUCUCAUCUUAAAUUGAACAUUAUAAAAAGACAAAAAAAAAUUAUACAUUAUUCAAUUAUUGAAUUGAUCAUAAAUCGUACUCAAGGAUAAAUCCAAAAACAUACUGCAUGAAAGAGUAGGAUAGAUAAAGAGGUGCCAAAUAUACAUGUCUCUAAUAAAUAUUUAACAAUAGAUUAUUUUUUAUAAAAAUAUUAUUAAUAUAACAAAAUAUAUACAAAGAGAGGCCAACCACAUGACAUGGAAUUUCUUUAGCAUAUUGAGUCUUAGAUCUAUCAUGGGCACAUUUAGGAUAUUGUACUCACUAAUAGUGUUUGCCCAUUCAAAUCAUAAAAAUAGUUAAGGGAUUAUAUGACAAAGUAAAGGGGUUCGAUUCCUGUAAGUAACAUUUAUUAAGAGUAACAGUUAUAUUCCCCAAAAGAGAUUAGUUAUUUACCAAAAAGGGUAAGAGAAUCCCUUGGUAGUACCCAAAAUAAUCAAUAUUUACAAAGGUGUUCUAUGAAACCCACUCUAAUAAUCAAACAAAACUACAUUGACUUACUAAUAAUCCUCUUCAUUCCUUUCCCAUCACAAACUAUGUUUUAAAUAUACCAAUGACUAUGUAGUUACAUUAUCAUCUGCUCCAAAAGGCUCACAUCAUUAAUUUGGCUAAUUGUUCCCUUUGUUUCUGUAAUUUGUCACAUUGAAAUAUUCAGGAAGGUAUCAUUAAAUUUGCUGCUUUCAGAAUCAAUUAUUGAUGCAUGUAAAAAGAUACACAAUCCAAGAUAUAUCAAGUUCCAGAACUCAUGCUCAUAAAGAACAGUUAAGAACACUGGAAUUUACAGCAGUAACUCACAAAAACACCCUUCAGCCUUGAGAUUCAGUAUUAUUAGAGGUACAUUCUUGAGGCAACAUGGGCUUUAAGAUUUGCACAUGAUAUAUAAGUAUAGUGAAGCAAUUCACUAAAAGCAAAAUCUAAUACAUUUUAGGAAGAUAACUGCUUAACAACUUCAAUUUGCCCGGUCUCUGAGCACUUCAAGAUCCAUUUCUGUGGGAUCAGUAGCCUGGAUUUCAUAGUGAACACCAUCUAGCUGACGUAUAAACCUGUCUUUAGAUGUGGCGUAGAGCAUCUUGGCACGGAUGCGAGAUGUUGAAGGAGACCUAACCGAUAUCAUGCAGUGAAAGAAUUCUAGUUAUAUCAGUGGCAGAUUCAUAACAAAUGUAUAUAUGAAUUAAGACUACACACAAUGAUGAGUAUGAAAGCACAUUAAAAGCUACUAUAAAAAAAACUCCAACUUGUCAAUAAGGCACAGGACUGAAAAAAUGCAGCACUCACAAUCACAACAGAAAGAGGAGGAGGUCUAAUUCCAACUGAGAUAUUUAAACCUAAUACAGAAAAUGAUAAUGUGAUAGCUAAGAUACAGUUCAAACAAAAUAUAGAAAAUUAAUGGUCAAAGUAAUCCAUCAAACUAUAAGCAAAACCUUUAAAAUCAUAAAAUGGGUCAUCUAUUAUUUUCUUUCAGUUGCUUUGUACUCAAAGGUACAAAAUGCAACUAUUAGCCAAUGCCCUAGAUUAGAUUCUGCACGAGCCUCAAGUGUCAUGGACAAGGUCCAACAAACAUGAAGAUAAAGUACAAUACCAAUAGUGAGGUUUUGAAUUCUGGAGAGAAAGUAAACUAUAUCAAGGAUGUGCAAGUUUAGUUGAAGUAUAGAUGAACAAUGGACAAGACCUUCUUUCCCUUCAUGAGAUCAUCAUCUUAUCUGAAGAUACUAAAAUAAUUAUCUGCUAGUCUCUAGAAGACGAUACUUAUGGAAAUUUUGUAACUACAUAAUGCACUGGCAACAAAAUAGUAAUGUGCAAAUUGCUUAAUCUCAUCAAAAUUUGAUUUUCUUCUUUAAGAUAAGAUUUUUAACAAGAGGAUGAGCACUAGCAUAACAGUAAAGUUGUUCUCUUGUGACAUGAAGGUCACAGGUUUAAGUCAUGGAAAAAACCUUUCUACUUGCAGGAAACAAGUUUCUGGUUUCAGCCAAGGAAGCACUAGACAGUAUCCUCGUACAUUGGACUGUUUUUUUUUAGAUUUCAGCAAAAAAGGUUAGAAUCCCUGUCAGAACAAUUAAAUUCUCUAAAAUAUCAAUGUUAAAGUUAAAACUAGACAAAUUAACCACCCCAAAAAAUGGAAAAGAAAAUUACGCCUAACAGUUAGGCCAUUCAAGAAGCUUACUCAUGUAUGAUUCAAUCUAUUGAAGCAUGAAGAUGUUUGUGUUGUUUUAAUCACGUCAGAUUUUUUCAUACUAACAUAAGCAUUUGAAGACUGUAAAAUCUUAUCUGAAAUUUAAAUGCUCUGUUUGCCCUUAAAAUGUGACUGACAGAAUGCCCCGGUACAAAUUGAUUUCUGACAGCAGCAAACAGAUUAGAGAUGUGGUAAAAGGGAGAAUGGUACCAAAAAGCUACAAGUUUCUAGAUUCGCUAGAAUAUAAAGCUUAAUAAAUGAGUCAGCCUAGUGCAUGAGGCUCUCACCUAGUGGGGUAUGGGAUAGGUAGAUGCGCGCAGCCUUAACCUUGCAAGCGGAGAGGCCAAGAUUUGAACCUGUGACCUCAUCGUCAUAAGCCGCAACCUUACCAUUGUGCCAAGUUCACCCUCUAAUAGAAAGCUCAAUCAAUGUAAAAGAAAUUGCAUCUAAACAAAAACACGAAAUUCAGCCCAAAAUAAUGAAACAAUAAACAUAUGGUGCCAUGAAUAGAUAACAUGCAAAAUAUACACUAAAGGCAAAAGCAAGUAGCGUCAUGGCAUGUUGAGUUAGAGAAAUUCAAGUAACGGCGUAGUGCAUAAAUCAUAUGUGCUGCAAGAUUUCCCUUAUUGCACAUCAUGGACCACAUUUUACAAACAUCACUAUCUACUUUGUUAGUCAGAGCAACAAUGCUGCUCUUGAAGACAAAUACACAUGAAUAUUAAAGAAAGAGGUGGAAUAAACUAACCAUGCAAUGAAAAAGAUUUUACUCUUUUGACAGUUCUCAGAAGUGACAAAAUCAAAGUCGAAGACAGCAUAUCUGCAAUCGUUCUGAGGCAAAGAUGCAGCAAAAUCAUCAUAGCUCUCAGAUGGAACACCGGUCUUCUCAACCACAACCUCCCUUUUACUUUCAUCAAUCUUAAAGAUCACAUAUCGAUAAACCUUCUUUAGUUUCAAGUCCAUGAAUGUAUUUUGGCUGUGAUCAGCAACACCCAUUCCUGAUGAAGCAUUUGGCUGCAAACCAAAUGUAGCUGGGUCAACAAAGUGAUUUUUAAACAAAGAAAUCUCUAGUGCCUGUCAUUGAGAGAAAUUCUUGGUCUCUUGGGAUGAAAUUUCCUAACUUUUUACACCGGAAAAUCAUUUUCCUAAAUAGUGUAAAGUGAUGUUAAUAAGGGCACUAUUAGUUUCAGGAGAAAUUAGACUAACCUCUGUCAAAAUUUAACUUAAUUACAUCAAGCUGCAGUUUUUAUAUGAAAAUUUACUCCGAUCCACACUUGAGUUUAUAUUAUUACAUUUACAAAGUUGAGAUUUAUGCUAUCAUUACAUUUACACCCCCUUCAGCCUAAUAUCAAGUGAGAUCAGUAUAAUUAUGAAACCACAUAUAGGUACAAAAAACAACAACUUAUCCUUGAUCCCAAUAAGUGGAAGUUGGCUACAUGGAUCGAACUACCCGAUAAUGCUAAUCAUUUUCAUUUAUCUCUAAUUUUUUACUAAUGAUUUCACCUACAUUUUUUCUUGACCUCCCUCUUCCGAUAGAAAUUGGACAAACCUUCCUGUUUGAUCUAUUCUUCUUAACGAGACUUCCAAAAGUCCCCUCCACACGUAUUUCCAAAACACGGAAGAAGCGACUCUACCUUCUUUUCUACACCGAUUACAAAUAUAUAACUACAGACAUGACAAAAAUAUAACCUCGAGUGAAAUCAGUAGCAAUUUGUAAAGCUAAGGUUUAAAUGAUGGAGCAUAGAAACCAAAAGCACCACAUCUGAAAAAUAUGAUUCACCAAUCAUGACCCAGAAAAAUAUGGGAUUGGAAAGUAAAAUGGUGAUUCAAAGUUGAAAGCUUUUAUUUGUCUGGAAUAAAAAGAAAUUAGAGGAAUUUGAUUAAAGUAAGUGGGAAGUAGCAGAAGAUGAGAUUUGAAGUUGAUAAUCUUACACGGUUGAGCCAUCGGAAAGACAUGACAGGCAGAGACUACAGUAGAAAAGAGACAGAGAGAGGCGGCGAACAGUUGGUAACUUCGAUUUACUCAAAGAGGCAAAGCAAGAACUUUCGAUUCAACUAUAUAUAUAUAUAGUAAAUUAGAGUGACACUUUGGUGAAAUUAUUCACUCCAUUUUUUUUAUAAAUAUUGAUUACGUGCAUGAGGAAUAAACAUGAUCUAUAAAAUAAAAAAGAUGAUAAAGUGUAAUUAAGUUAAACAAAAUAUUAUAUAUUGUAGAGAAAAAUUCAAAUAAUAUAUAAUUCAAAACAUUUCCAUUAUUUUUUGUUUAUUAUAAGAUGCAUUAAUAAUUAUAAGAUAUAUUGUUUACAUCACUCUUAUAUUGUAUUGUAAUGAACAACAAAUAAUGAAAAUAUACUCACAUACUAUUUAUACUUCUAUCUAUAAUAUAUUAUAUUUUGUUUAACUUAAUUACACUUAUUACCUUUUUUUAUUUAAAAAUCAUACUCAUUUCUCACAGAUGAGUAGUUAGUGUUAUGUAUAUAUAAAAAUUAGAGGUUUUUUGUUUGUGUAAAAAAUAGAAGGAUAAUUUAGUGUUUAAGAUGUUCUUUAGAAUUGAGCAGGGAUGGUCAGUAUCGAACGUCAGUAGAAUGGAGAUGAUCAGAAGUCUUGGUCGGAAUAUUGUCUAGACUCGUCGGGGGAGGUACCUGAAAAGGUUCUCCGACGAUCAAGUCAAUAUAGAGUCUUAGAGAGUGAAUGAGAAUAAGAGAGAAGUUAGAACAAUAGCAAUAAGUGCAAGCAAUAAAUGAGAAUUAAUUAUACUUUUUAUGUGGAAUCCUCUAUUUAUAGGGUUUUGGGGCUGCUGAUAUGAAAUCUGGCCAUUGGUUAGUACAUGGUAGGUAAAAUGGAAUGUGCAAGUGGCGUGGCAGGUGGAAUGUCAGUUUGCAUUAAAGGUGAGCCAGUGGCGCAUUGAAGAUGAAGUUAGAGAUGCAUUAAAUAAUAGACUAGAAGCAUUAAUGGCACGUCAUAAGCAUUUAUGACACUUAUAGUGGGUAUUACCUACCUUAAGCGGGUGAGAGAGGUAUACAUAGCUUAGGUCAAAUGUCUGGGGUGGGUUAGAAACAACUUAGAUUUAUCCAGGGUGGAACAGUUGCUUCCAGUCUAUCAGGUCCGGCAGAAGUGGUCGGGCUGGUAGACUCAGGAUGUUCCGAUCUGGUGAUUUUGGGUAGCAUCUAGGUGUAGGGGUAGGUCAUGUCGAGCUCGCUUGAUACAUGAAUCCGGUUGUCAGUCCUUUAUCUUUUUCAAAGCUUCUAAUUCUCAGUAACUCGGUAAUUCCUUUCUCUCUUUUCCUUUUAGGCAUAAGUUUUUCCUGUUAUACUAAUGUUGAGCGGAGACUCUAGCCUUGACAAGGUGGAGAUCUUGUCCAGACCUGCACCUGUUUUUAUUAACGUCGCCCCUUGUCGCAGUCAACAAGCUCAGCUUGCUUCCAUUCUGGGUAGUAGUUGGUCCCUAUGGAGGCGACCGAAGCAAUUAUCCCUGCCGGCCUUAUUACGUAAUCUGAGAAAGAAGAAGGCCGAAAGUGAGGUAACCCUGAUGGACUAGGCAGCUCUCUUAGAGAAGUAGCAUCUGGUCUUGAAUAAUAUGUCCAGUUUGGAGUCUAACACUUCUUCUAAUGACAUGUAUAUUAUUGGGGGCUCUCAAAGUUAUGGAGCGGUCUUGUAUCCUUCGCUUGUUUUUCUAGAUGUUCCGAGUGACCCAUAGCACGAACAAAGACCAAGCUAGGGCUGGGCGCCAAGGGUGGACAACUCUUCAAUCUCGGAAUGGUCGCGCUCUUUCCCUUCCCUUCGAAGGGUCAGUAAAGAAUUGGAAGGGUGGCUUCUUCAGCGUGGAAGCUCGAGGGACACGCCAUACUUGGGCGUAUGGUCCCGACUACCUCCCCUCUUCCCCUUUUCUUGGAAUGGGGAAAUCCAUCAAAAGUCCACCGACUCCUUCGCUUUCGCAUAUGAACAGUUGGACGAUCGAGAGAAAUGGCGGAACAAGGACAAGUCGCCUGCCAUUCCACCUACCACGCCGCCUGCACAUUCCACCUGCCCCCGACAAGUCAACAAGCGCAGACCUGAAGGAGGAACAAAGACAACCCGACAUAUCCCCAUUGUACCUACCAUGUACUAACCAAUGGCCAGAUGUCAUAUCAGCAGCCCCAAAAUCUUAUAAAUAGAUGAUUCCACACAUGGAGUAUAAUUAUUUUCAUUCCUUCAUUUAUUGCUUGCACUUAUUGUUAUUGCUCUAACUUCUCUCAUAUUUACUCCCAUUCCCUCUUUAAGACUCUAUACUGACUUGAUCAUCGGAGAAUAUUUUCAGGUAACUCCCCCGGCGGAUCCAAACAACAUUCCGACUAAGACUUAUGAUCAUCUCCAUUCUAUCGGGCGUUUGAUACCGACCAUCCCCAUUCAAUACUAAAGAACAUUAGUGUUUAAGAUUAUGAGUGUCUUAACGUCAUGGAUUUUCCAUUUUAUAUACUCCUUUAUUUUAAUAUUGAUAAAUUCUCAAAAUACAACGAUAAAUUUUUUCAAACAAAUAAAAUAAUACUUUUUGAAUAAUCAUCCAUCAUUUUUUAUAUUUUUUUUUGUUCAUUUUAGUUUUCCAUUUCAUCCCCUAAUUAAAUUGUUUUGUUAAGUUUAUUUUGUUCAUUUUAGUUUUCCAUGUCAUCUCCUAAUUGUUUUAUAUUAAAUUAAGUUUAUUUUGAUUUAACCAUGUGCAACCAAAAUUUUAACAUAGCUAAGAAGGACUAUGUGCAAGAGGAAGAGAGAGUGCAGAGAGAUAAGACUGAAAGUACUCACUUAGUUAUGACCUCUCAAAAUAAGAAAAGAAAGAACAAUAAGGAUGUUGCGAAAGGGCUAUUUGUGUUUUCCUCAGAGAAUGUGGAAUUGUUCUACAAUACAUUAUUCCAUGCAAACCUAGCAUGAAGGGUGUUGUUGAGUGAUUAAACUGAACUCUUAAGGAUAUAGUGAGAAGUAUGAUUAGUCAUUCUUCCUUGGUAGAGUCUAUUUGGGGGAAAGCUUUAAAGACUGUAGUUUACAUCCUUAAUAGCAUGCCAAGUAAAGCAGUUAACAAAACCUCAUAUGAUUUUUGGACUGAUAAAAGACCAAGCUUAAAACACUUGCAUUUUGGGUUGUCCAGCUGAGGCACGACCUUAUAGGCUGCAUGAAAGAAAAGUGGACUAAAGAAUAGUUAGCGGUUAUUUUGUUUGCUAUGCUGAACACUCUCGAGACUAUAAAUUUUAUGAUCCCACUUCACGACUUUUUUUAGACGAGAAAUGCAAGAUUUCUUGAGGAAGUUGAAUUUGGGAGGAAGAGAACAUAAAGAAUGUUGUCUUUGAGAAAAAACCUACCACUAAUGGUGAGCAAGUUCUUGUGCCUAUUACCAUUCAAGGAACAACUUCGGUAAUAGAAGAUAAUAUUCAGAAUAUUGUUCCUAAAAAUAUUCUUGAACAAGACAACAAUGAGGUUCUCCCUCAAUUACCUAUAGAAAAUAUUCAAGAACCUCAAGAAGUAAAAAUGUCAUCAAGUAGAUCCACUAGAAAGGAGAAGUGCAAUUCCUGAUGAUUAUAUUGUAUUUCUUUAAGAACAUGAGGAUGACAUUGGGUUAACAUAAGAUGAUCUAUUGAACUUCUAUCAAGCCAUGAAAAGUUAUAAUUCUCAAAAGUGGAUCGAUGCCAUGAAGGAUGAGAUGAAGUCUAUGCAUAAUAAUGACAUUUAGGAUCUUGUCGAAUUACCUAAAGGUGCGAAACCUGUUGGUUGCAAAUAGAUAUUUAAAACGAAGAAGGAUUCGAAGAAUAAUAUUGACAGAUAUAAAGCUCGUCUUGUUGCUAAAUGCUACACUCGGGAAGAGGACAUUGAUUAUAAAGAAACUUUCACUUCAGUAACUUCGAAUGAUCCUUUUAGAAUAAUAUUGGAACUAGUAGCUCAUUUUGAUUUAGAGCUAUAUCAUAUGGAUGUUAAGACUACGUUUCUAAAUGGUGACAUUAAAGAAACGACCUAUAUGGCGCAACUAGGAAAAUUUGUGUUAGUUGGCUCAAAGUCUAUGGUAUGCAAAUUAAAGAAAUUCAUCUAUGGCCUUAAAUAAGCUUUCCAUCAAUGGAAUCACAAUAUUCAUCAAGCUAUUACCUCGUAUAGUUUUGAGGCAAAUAAAGUUGAUAGUUGCAUGUACCAAAGGUUCAGUGAGAGUAAAUUUAUAAUCUUGAUAUUAUAUGUCAAUGAUAUACUGCUUGUUAGCAGUGAUAUGAGACUAUUGCAUGAGACCAAGAGAUUUCUAACGAAGAAUUUCGAAAUGAAAGAUCUUGGAAAAAUUUCUUUUGUAUUAGGUAUUCACAUACUGAGAGAUCACUCUCAAGGUAUCCUAAGGUUGUUACAAUAAAGCUGUAUAGAUAAAGUCCUAGAUAGAUUUGGCAUGAAAUACAGCAAACCAGUGGAUACCCCUAUAGCUAAGAAAGACAAGUUUAGUCUUAAACAGUGUCCCAAAAAUGACCUUGAAAGAUCCGAUAUGCAAAAGAUUUUUCAUGCAUAUGUAGUAGGAAGUCUAAUGUAUGUUCAAGUUUGUACACGUCCCGACAUAACGUUUGUCGUGGGAGUUUUGAAAGUUAUUUGAGCAAUUUUAUAAUGCAUCAGUGGAAGACAAUCAAACAUGUUAUGCGCUACUUAAAGAAAACAAAUGAUUACAUGUUCAGUUAUUAAAUGUAUGAGAAUUUAGAGAUCAUUGGGUAUUUUGACUCCGAUUUUUGGGUGUCUAGACAAUAGACACUCCACCUCUGGAUAUGUGUUUAUCUUGGUUGAAGGUGCUAUAUCUUGGAAGUCUUCUAAAUAGACGCUCAUAGCUCCUUUAAUCAUGGUUGCGGAUUUCAUGGUUUGUUUUGAAACAUCAGACCAUUGCAUAUGGUUGCGGAAAUUUUGUCACUGGUUUACGUGUGGUUGAUGGUACUAAAAGACCACUGAGAAUUUGUUGUGAUAGUAAGUUUGCGGUUCUUUACUCCAACAAUAAUAUGAGUUCUAUAAAGUCAAAAUUUAUUGAUAUCAAGUUUUUGGUUGUUAAAGAAAGUGUUCAAAAUUGACAAAAUUCCAUAUAACAUAUAGGGACAAAUUUAUGCUAGUUGAUCCAUUGACUAAAGGCUUGGUAUCUAAAGUCUUUCAUCAGCAUAUUUCUCAUAUGAGUAUUGCUCCUUAUGAUACUUUGGUUCAAUGUGAGUCUAUAUGUUUUAUGACUUAUUUUGGACGUUAUAUAUAGUUUUAUGCAUAAUAAAGUCAAUGGUUUAUUGUUCUAUUUUGAAGUUAUAUAUUGUAAUUAUUGUGUUGCAAUUAAGGACUUUGGAUUGAUCUUACUAAAUAAUAAAGAAGGACCAGUUGGAAAUAGAUAUGUUUGAGAUCACAUUGCAUGAAAUUUCCAUGUCACUCAUCCAUAUUUGAUUUUUAUCAUUAGUAUAUUAAUAUGAUAUUCAUCGUGGUCGAGUCACGUUUGAAUGUGAUGAAGGUCGCUGUGGUUCUAUAGUUGAUAUAUGAGAUGAACCAGAUUGUAUUAAGGAGAAGUCUAAAUAUAAAUAGCAUACGGAUGUGCGCAUAAAGAAUAUGUGGUAUAAUUGUUUCAUAAAAAAUAUGAAGCUCAAGUGGAAGAUUAUUAGAAGUUUAUAAUUUCUAAUUAAGGUGGACAUCAUAUAUUUAAUACAAUUAUAUCGACUAUUUAUUUCGGGGUUGCAAAUCAAGUGAUCUAAUUAAUGACAACCUAAAAGACUUCUGAAACUUAUAACGAAUAUAAGUUUAAUGAGUGGAUACCCAAACAGUUGGCCUAUAAGAGAUAAUGGGAACCCUAUAAGUUAACACACAAGGAGCGGUUAUGGUCCCUAAGAUACCAAAUCACAAAUAGUUUUCACAUAUCUCCAUCAGAGAGAAAAUGAAGGUCCCAAAAGGAAUUAAUGAUUUGGUUCAGGAAGAUCAUCAUACCAAAACUCUCUCAAAAGAUAUAUCAAAUGAGUAGAUCGGAGAAUAUGGAUUCAAGGAUUCAGAUAUCAUUUUGUAUCCUUGUUUUAUAUAAUGUGUGAGAAUCAUGAGAUUUAAGAUCAUAUGAUUGAUAUUUCAGCAAUCGUUAGUAAAUAUCUAACAUUUUUUUGCUCCCGAAGAAGUCUCAAAUAUUACCCUAAAGAAUAUCUUGUAAAUGGAGAUGAUAGGGGUGUCAGGAGAUCCAACCAACAUAGUAAUGAUAGUGCGAUUGAGAUAAGAUUUGGUGAUUUAGAGGAGGAGACCAAUGUUGAAGACAAGUACUCUUUCAAUUUGGAUGCAAGGAUUGUUCAUGAAAAAACCAGAGAGGAAUGCCAUGUUGUCAUGUCCUUAUUUCUAUUUAUGUAUUUGUUUAAUGUCUAGUUCAAUUGAAAGGUGUCAAGAAAAGUCUUAAAACAAACCUAAUUCAGUGAAAUAUAAUUGAUUAAAGACAGUAAAAAAACAUGAUUUUUUUUGGACAAAUAAUUUUAUGCUAGGAAGACCUAAGAAGAGAAGGAUCAAAGCAUUAAAUUCAUGAGUUGUAUAAACUUUUUUGGUACUACUAAAUAUAUUUUUUACUGUAUGAUUAAGAAAUUAAUCUCUUAUAGGGUGUGUGGUUGUCACUUCUAAUAAAUGCUGCUAUUGAACCCUUAACAUUUUGGUCUUUCUGAGAAUUUAACGAGAUCUUAUAUCACUAGACCAAUGUAUAAUUGGUAUGAGUCAUAUAAACUACAAACCUUUUAAAAAUAGUAAUUUUUUUAUUUUCUAUUAUUAGUAAAUCAAAUCAUACUUGGUGAUAAUCGCCUAUCAGUUUUCAAAAUUGUGUAGUGUUUAAAAUUAUCUAAAAAAUAAUAUGAGCGAGAUAUUAAAUAAAAGAGAGUGAAUCCACUUAUUUUAGGAGUAGGUUCAAAAUACAUACUAUAUAUAUUUAGUAUAUGAAAAUUUAAUGGGUCAUAUGAACUAUGUUUUUUAACUUACUCGUGGAGUAAUGAAUUCCCUCUUCUUUUAGUACUACCAAAAGUAUCAAUUCGCCAUUUUCUUCUCUAAAUGAAAUAUAACAUUUUCUUAUAUAUAAAAUUAUGAAUUAUAUAAUAAAAAUACUCAUCUUUAACUUAAUUUUAUACAUAUAAAAUCUCAACUAAAAGAAGAUAAUAGUAAACUUAGUCCUCUAAAGAUUACAUUGGCAUUAACUUAGGUUGCCUUUAGUUGGGGAGAGUAUGUAGAGAAAGAAAGUAAAAGUGAUGGACCCAUCAACUUUUAGUUUCUUCUCUCAUGUUAGAAGAAAUGGUAAACAAAGAAAGUUUUUUUGUAUUUAUAACAAUGCAUUAGGGCAACUACAAUGAUUGUUCUUAACAUAAUAAGAAUUUGUUCCCCCAUUGUGCUAUUCUUAUUUUCUGAUUUUUAACAGUUUUUUGUUGUUCUUAGUCAAAGGAAAAUGAGGAAAGAGGUAGAUUUUCUAGAAAAAAUAGAUAUUGUGGGACCCAAAUAAAAAUGAAAUUUUUGUUAUCUAUUGGAGAUGUUCUUAGCUUUAUCAAAUCAUCAUUGUUAUUUAAAAGGGUAAAAUUAUCUUUUUAGCAAAAACACAUUUUCUCCCCUUCUAAUUCUUUCAUAUCAAAGAACUCUUACAAUCAACUCAUUUUUUCUUUCUCUCUAGUCAUACUCUUUCUUUUUAUCUUCUCUCCACUCAUACUCAUCCUAUUUUCUUCUGAAAAAAUGUUACUAAACUAUUCCCUUAAAUAUUAUAUUUUUCACCAAGUUAGUGAUUGAAAGAAAUUGUAAUCAUAUUAAGCCAUAUCUUAUCACAUUAGUUUCUUAAAGAACAUAUAUGUUGGUGGUACCGAAUAAGAUGAGAAAUUGUACAAAUAUUAAUAUAUUUAUCAUAAUUGAAUAAUCUUUACUUGACUUUAACUUAACUAUGACAGUUAUCAUUUUUUUAAAAUCAUUAAUCAAUAUGCAAAGAAUUUUUAUAUAACCUAUAUUAUAAAUAUAUGGCCAAGUUCAUGACCAUCCAAAUAUGAUGUUAUAAAUAUUUUACAAAUUUAUCACUAACUUAGUUUUUCAAAGGUCGUGGUGUCAUGACAUAAUUUUCCAAUAAUUUAUUUUAUUAAACUUGUCCAUUAAAAAUUAGAUUUGGUAACACGUAACACGUUAGCCCUUUAUUAACAGAGAUAUUAACUUCAAAAAAAACCUGUCUCUGAAAAAGUAAUACUUUCAGCUUUUUGAAAUAUAGUCUUUGAAGAUUAAUCUAAUAAUUUUUUAUCCUCUUUAAUACUAGAGGUCAAAUAUUUGAAUUCGGAGCUCAAAUUAUUUUUAUGAUAUACUAGGUCAAAUAUCCGACGAAUGAUAUUACAUAUUCAAUUUUUAUAUAUUAUAUUUUUUUUGUUUAUGAUAAUGUUUAAUUUAAUGUGAGAUAUGUGAUUAAUUAAUGCAUUGGUGGUAGUUGCUUAGGAUUAUAUAGUUUUUUUUGUAAAAAUUAAAUAAUGUUAAGAGGAAUACAAAAAAUAUUACACCAUGAGGGAAGUUAUUUCAAGUUUUGGCUUUAUAUAUAUAUAUUAUAUUUCAAAUUUGCACCGUCCAUUUCCUUUGUUUUUUCAAAACACAUAUCAUAAUCUUUUCUUUUAAAUUUCCUGGAGGGUAAAAAAAGAUGUAAUGAGAUUAAUCUAAUUACAAAUUUAUUUGAGAACCAAGUUGAUGAUUCAUCUUUACAUGCGAAAUUAACCAUAUGGAUCCUCGAAAAACCAAAACUUUGGUUGAAAUGGAUAUGUUCACUUCAAAGGAAAAUAACUCCGUUUCUACACGUUCGUUUUAUAGCGUGUGUUAGGUGAAGACUGUUCUAGUUCCUUUGAGAGCCUCGAAAUCCUUUACCUUUUCAUCAAAUUUGAAUUCUUUCAAUGGAAUUGCUGGUAACUACUCUAACAACAAGCCUCUCUCUCUUUUCUUCUGUCUGUGUAUUGCAAUUUCUAAUUUUUUGCAUUGAAAAAACUUCAGGAGAAGCUGAAGAUGCAGAAGAAAAAACAACCAGACAAUAACGAAGUCGAAGGUGGUCCUGUGUUUUGGUUUGAAACCUCUGUUUCUGUUUCUCGCCGCUUUCAGUUUGAACCACAGGGCCAACUUUCUGUAUGUUCCUCUCUCUCUCUCUGUAUUGAUGUGUAAAUUAUAAUGAUAAAUGGGUAUUGGGUCUAUGUGUGAUUGAAUUGUGGAUGUAUAAUGUAGUAGUAUAAAUAGGUUUAGGGUUAAUUGUGUUUGUGAUAAGCAAAAGAAAGAAAAAGAGUAGGUAGCAGAUAGAAAAUGAUGUGUAAGAGUAAUAAGUGAUGGGCACUUUUGAUUUGAGAAGAAUAUUUGCAAGGUACCACUUUUGUACACUUUCUUUGAGGGGAAAAGUCUAGUUUCUCAAGCUAGGGAUUAACAUUUUAUGUUUUGUACCUUUGUUCAUUGUUAGUAUCAUAUUAUUAGGUAAAUGAUAGUACUUAAUAUGUUUGUAAUGAGCCAAUGACUAAUGCUAACCAUUAAAACAUUGAUUCUGUAUUUUCACUUAAUGUGAUUUUAUGUUUAUUUUAUACUAAUUUUAUAUGUUGAAGCAUAGCCGUUUUGUAAUAUAAUUUAUAUAACUGCUGUGUCAUGAUAUCCUUGCUUUAUGAAUUUGUAUCCUAUAUUCCUAUGUCAUCUACUCAUAUGUGUGCUUCCUAGAUGAGUUUCUUUGAAGUCUAGGUUUGGCCAAUCCUUUCCUUUCAUUACCCGGAAAAAAUGUAUAUUUUAUUUUUCGUUUUCUAUGCAGGUAAAGAUUGUUGAUGAUUCCAGACCAUUGCACAGCAGGGUUGUUGAGUCUUUCCUGCAUAAAUUUUUCCCUUCUGGAUAUCCAUACAGGUAGUUUGAUUUUUUAUUGAAUAUGUUGCAAGGCAUAGUUAUUAUAUCUUAGACAAGCUAGUUUAGAUUUUUAGUGUUCAAUUUGCAGUGUGAAUGAAGGCUACCUUACCUACACUAAGUUUCGAGCAAUGCAACACAUUACCAGUGCAGCACUAUCAGUGUUAUCAACUCAGGUCUUCUUCUGAUAACUUGAAAACCUCAGCAAAGCAUGUAACCAUAAAAAAGUUCACGUCUUUGAUGUUCUAAAAUAAAAUCCAUUUACCUAGCCACUGAAAGAAAAGGGUGGUCCAGUGCACGAGGCUCCCACCUAGUUGGGUCUGGAGAGGGUAGAUGUGUACAAUCUUACCCUUGCAAGCAAAGACGUUGUUUCCAGGAUUUGAACACAUAACCUCUAGGUCAUAAGGCAAGCAACCUUACUGUUGCGCCGAGGCUCACCCUCUAAAAAGGAAGCCUAGUGUUACUGAAUGUAUGAUGUUUUCCAUUUCAUAUUUGAUUUAUUCCUUAUAUAGUAUAGAAAAUAUUUCAAUGCCUCUUUGGCUGGUACAAUUCAUUUAGUGGUUGUAAUUUUUACAAAAAGAAUCUAUAUGAAACAAUUGUGUGUGAAGUCUAUGUCUUUGGUCUGUAUGCUUAUUCUUCUGCAGUCACUGUUAUUUGCUGCAGGCUUGCGUCCCACUCCUGCACAAGCAACUGCUGUUAGCUGGGUAAAUUGAUACUACAUUCCAAUUGACUAUUUCUCGGACCAGUCGUGGUGGCAUCCAUUUACGAUAUAACAUUUUUUUUCUCUUGUUGGCGUCCAGAUUUUAAAGGAUGGCAUGCAACAUUUAGGGAAUCUGAUAUGUAGUAAUUUGGGUGCAAGAAUGGAUUCAGAGCCUAAACGUUGGAGAAUUCUAGGUUUGCAAUUGAGCUGUUGCUUUUCAUUUUUUCUUGUAUUAGCUCUUAUGACACUAUCAAGGUUUUUGACUGCAAUAAUCAUUGCAUCGCGCAGCCGAUGUGCUCUAUGACGUUGGCUCUGGAUUGGAAGUGCUUUCUCCCUUAUGCCCACAUCUCUUUCUUGAAAUGGCAGGCCUAGGCAAUUUUGCUAAGGUAUAAUUUUUAUUGAAUUUCUUAAAUUAAUUUUACAUGUUGGUAUUUGUUGCUAACAUGCUAUGUAAAGUUGAUAUGAUGCUAAUUGUUGAUUCAUGCAUCUGUAUGUCAUGAUAAAGAACUUUAAUGUCAUAGUGAAAGUGACUGCUCAUUAACCUAUUGUUAUUGUUUUAAUCAGUUCAUGUUUACUCUUAGUCUGCUUAAAAUUGGUGUAAAGCCAUUUACAAAAUUUAAAUUUUAAAUAUUGAAACAAAAUAUGAAAGAGAGAGAGAAUGAAAGGCUCAGAGAGAUGUUAUGCUAUAAACGGAUGAGAGAGGCUAUAAUAGUUGGAUUAGAAAAAAUUCUAUGAAAUAGAGUUCGUAAAGAACCAGUUUCCCCCGCUUAGGCGCCUGCCCUGGGAGAUUGGUCUUUCACAUAUCGGGUGGGAGGAUACUUUGGAAAACCAAAAAAAUAAAUAAAAAGUUAGGUAGUUACGAAACACUGUUCAUUUGAAAGGUAGCUCUUGUGCUCUUACAUAUCUAGUUUUUAGAAUUCCAGACAUCCCUUUAUCUUUAUAUUAUUCUGUAAUCAACAGGGGAUGGCAGUUGUUGCAGCAAGAGCUACAAGGUUACCUAUAUAUUCUGCGUUUGCCAAAGAAGGAAAUCUCAGUGACCUAUUUGCUAAAGGGGAGGCUAUUUCGACUCUCUUCAAUGUUAUUGGAAUUGGAGUUGGAAUUCAAUUAGCAUCUACUGUAUGUUCGUCAAUGCAGGGAAAGGUAAAAUGUCUAUAUAGAUUAUCUUUGCUUGUUCUUGGGAGUUUAGUGUUCAAUAUUUUCUUCAGUUUUUGACUCACAUAAGAAUUUGCGCAAACCACCCAUGAUUGUCGCCAUUGUUUGUUACUGGAAUGGGUGAAGAUUGUUGCGCAGGUUGAGAUCAGAAAUUUGAUGUUUUCUAUUGAAUGUGGUGGCAAAGUUGUAGAUUAAAUGUAGCUUAUGAAGUCAUCCCCAAGGGUAUGGAUCAUAGAUAUUGUUUAUUGGAAAUUAGAACAAUUACUAAAAAAAUAUGAAAGCAAGUGAUUUUUUUUCUAGUUUUCUUAUAGAGAUAUAAAUAUGCUUUGUCAUAUUUUAAUGAUAAAUAUACAUUUUAUUUAUGAUUCCAAACUGAUGGAUUAUGAAAUGUUUCUUGUUAGUUGGUUGCGGGGCCUAUACUUUCAGUUCUACAUGUAUACAGCGUCAUCGAAGAAAUGAAAGCUACUCCUAUCAAUACCUUAAAUCCACAAAGAACUGCAAUGAUUGUGGCUGAUUUUCUCAAGGUCUGCUUUACAAUAUUAUCAUAAAUGAAUGUUCUCUUGUUUCCCUUUAAUUAAAAAGAAAUUGAAAUGCUGUUUGACUGAUAUUUGAAUUCCAAACCAGGCAGGAAAUGUAUCAAGCCCUGCUGAUCUCAGAUAUGGAGAAGAUUUGCUAUUUCCGGGGCGUCUCAUAGAAGAUGCCGGAAAUGUGAGAGUGGGUAGGGCUGUGCACAAGGUUAUUAAGCCUUCAAGGUUUGUUGAAUUAAAACAAAUGUUCCCCGAGGAAAAGUUUCUUUUAAAUCGAGGCGAUAAAUGCAUUGAUAUGGUACUGGCAAAAGACGCGGUCGGCGAAGAUGCAUUGAGAGGGUGGCUAGUUGCUGCAUACGCUGCACAAAUCGACAAGUCCUCUCAUGAGCUCAGUGCCAGUACCCUGCAAGAGGCCUAUGAGAGAAUGAGUGAUGUCUUCCCUGUGUUUUUAAAUGAAUUACAGAACAAAGGGUGGCAUACUGAUCGUUUUCUGGAUGGAACCGGGAGCCGCUUUUCCUUAUAGUGUUCAAAUAGAUCCUAUAUUGACCUGAGUAGGUUUUGUAACCCUUUUUGUGAUAUAGGAUGCAUUGCAGUUAAUGGUUCAGAUAAGUUGAACUUGAUCUCACUCUUUUUCUGCAUUGCUGGAUGGAAUGUUAUAGCUUUGGUUUUAUUGUUCUUCUUUCUCUUGCAAGUUGCAACAAUGUAGAAUAUAUUCAUGGUAUUCUCAGGACUUGUGUUUGACCUUGUUUUCUUCUCUUGGUGUUGUCCUUUUACUAUUAUUAAUUUGCAAUAAAGAAUGUAUGACUCUGGAAUAGUGAAAAGUGUUAUUUGCAUAAUUAAUAAACAUCAGAACUCAGAAGGCAAGUUUUGAUCACUGACAGAAUUUGAAGAUAUGGUACAAACAUUAAGACAUACCGGAAAUUCAUUUGUUUAUAGUAGAUCUUGAAACAAUGUUAAGUAAUCUAUCUUUUAUAUUUCUCAAAAUACUCUUCAGGAAUAGCUAAAACAAGAAAAUUGUUCCAAGAAAAUUCCUUCAAGCUUGUGUAUUCUGAUGAGCAAUUUUAUGGAGUUUAUAAGACUGCUCUUCCACAGUCUUGUCAUUUGAUACUUAAGGUAUCGGAUUAUAAUAUAUUUCUUCGUUCUAGCUUUCUCAAUGUUUUACUUCUUCCUGAACACAUCUCCUACCUAUUAGGAGAGUUGUUUAUAGAAUAAUAGUCAUAUAGGUCAUCUCACAACUUAUUAAAGAUGGAAUUUUUGAACAAAAAAAUCAUUCUCCAUCAAAACAGACAAAUCCUUAUUUUGUUUUUCUUUUUCCUCUUAAGUUGCAAAUCCAGUAUACUAUUAAAAGAUGUUGUCACUUAGCACAUGAUAAUACUCUAAGAAAAUUAAUCUUUCACCCCCUAAGUGGAGCUGUUUGAAAAUUAAAAAGCAUAGUUAGUUCUACAUAAAUUUUAUCUCACAUAAAAAAAAUAAAACAAAAGAUGAAAAGAUAAUAACAAAACUUCAAAAGUAACAUUUUAUCAUGGCGCAAAAGUACUAUUAUAUUAUAUGCAAACUCUGCAAUUUACAUAGAUAAGGAGGCUUGGAAGUACACAAGGCCAUAUUUUAUUACUAAACGUUACUACAAGUUCUCAACAUCCAAAACUUAUUUUAUUUUAAGAUGGCCACCUUAUUUCAACACCAUUGUUAUUUUCUUAUGCAACCUUAGGAAGGGUGUGAUCCUCAGACUCAGACUGAGGACUAACCAAAGGACCCUGGUUUCCACUGUACUUGAGCUGGCUCACCUGAUUCAGGCGAAGACCGAAAGCAUUGGCAAGAACCUCUGCAGGGAUGCCCCUAAACACUUGCUUAACUGGGCUAGUUGCAGCUAAGUCAUUUGUUUUGAAUGCUAUGAACUCAAAUCCUUCAUCCCCUGCUUGGUGUGCCACAACAAAGUUCUGUGGCACCACUAGAAGUUGUCCCCUUCUAAGGUCAUCAUUGAAAACUGAGUUGCCUUGGCAAUUCACCACUUGAACCCUUCCUCUUCCUCUAGUCACAAAGAUCACACUGUUUGCAUUGAUGUUCCAGUGUGGAGCAUAUAUACCAUUCUGCAUGCAUACACUAAUUUCAUGUUAAUAUAAAAUCAUGUUCAUAUAUAUACCAUAUUAUGAUAAGACAGAAUAAUAACAAUUGAUGUGUAUUUCAUAUUAAAACUAUUAGUGUCUAUUUUCGAGUUGGAUUAUGGAGGGGAAUGAAAAGAAAAGAAGGCUCGAGAGCCAUGAAAUACACUUUUCAUUAUUUCCCUUCCAAAACUUAACUCACAUAAGAACCCUCAUGAGAAGUUGUUGAAAUAAUAGUGGCUAAAGUUAAGGUGAUUAAUUACCCUGUAGAGGUUAACAUAGUCAGCACUAAGUUGGAACCAUCUGAGAAUUGGGAGGGUCAAGCUAUUGACACUGCUGAUGCGGCCAGCAUUUGGGUUGUAGAGAUCAGCACGCGAAGGUUUAGCAAUGUUCUCUAGAAGCCUAGCAGUGCAGAUAGUUUCCUCAAGUCCAUUUCUACUUUCUUGUCUCUUUCUCCUUCCUUGUUGUUGCUGCUGCUCUUCUUCUUCUUCCUCUCUUUGUUGUCCUGAUCUGCGUCCUCUACCUCCGUGGCGUCCUCGCCUUCCUUCUUGUUGUUCCUCUUCUUGUUCUUGUUCUUGUCCUUGUUCUUGUCCUUGUUCUUGUCCACGCCCUCUUCCUUGCUGGCGACGCACUCGAGUACUUGUUUCUUCUUCCUCCUCCUCUCCUUCUUCUCCUUGUGCACGUCUGUGUCGGGUUGUUCUCUCCCAUUCACGCUGCUGUCCUCUUCCUUCCUGCUCUGACUCUGACUCUUCUUCCUGCUCUUCUCCUUGGCGUCCUUGUUGUCUUCCCGGACGCCUUCUAGAUUGACGCUCAUAGCGUUCUCGAGAGCGAGGUUCAUCCUCUUCUUCUUCUUCCUCUUUCUCCUCUUCUCUUCUUUCCUCUCUUCGUUCAGGCUGUCCUCUCUGGCGCGGUUCUUCUUCUUCUUCUUCCUCUUCUUCUUGCGACUUGGGGCUGAUAAUGCUGAGACCUCUCUUCACUCUCACAAUUUGCUUCAAACGUUCAUCUGGGUUUUGUAGUCUGUUUAUAAUCUCCUCAUCAACGUUGAACGCUUGAGUCAAAAAUUGUGGGUCGAAUCCACUCAACACGUUGUUUUUUCCUUCUUCUUCCUGCUCCUGCUGGUGUUUCCCACGCCUGCGUCCACCAGCACCCUGUUGCUGCUCGCGCUGCUGCCCUUGUUGUUCCUGAGUUUCUGGAUGCUCUUCUUCUGGGUUCCCAGCAAUAUAGAAUCUCUGCAAAGUCAAGUAAAUAAAAAUAUUAAGUAACAAAUAAAGAUAUAUAUAAACUGCCACCCAAUCAAAGAGACUCUUACUUAGUGCAUUUUAGUUUGUGAUCGUGAUUGUAGUCACAAUUGUGAUUAUUCUCAUUACGUUAGUUAUAAUGUAAACUAUUUUAUGAUUAAAUAAGUAUUAUUUAAUUCGAUACAUCAUGAUACAGCCCAAAUGCGAUCCGAUUACCAUAUAGUCUGAUGAUGCAACUACAUCAUUGUGAAUUAUUAUGAUGUGACACAAUUGCCGCGAUCACAACAACUAUAAUAUUGCGGUUGCAUCUCCUGAUAUCAAGGUAGUAAAGUAUACUUACUCUUGGGCUUGGAUCAAGCUGGUUUAACAAGCUGGUGGUGUCAAGAAGGUUGAUGGCAACCAACCGUUGUUCACCAUAGUUAUAGGUCCAGUAAGGGAUUCCAGGUGGAAUAGCAAUGAUGUCACCUUCCCUGAAGUACUGAAUCUUCUGGUGGCUAUCCUGUUGUUCCUGUUCCUGGGAUUGUGAUCGUGAGCUUCUUCUCCUAGGAUCUUGGCUGGAUUGUGAUUGUUGUGCCUCUUCAUAUGUUUCAGUACAUCCAGGAACUGAAAUUCCUAGGGCUCCCUCACCUGUAGUAUGUGAACAUGCACGUAAGUACUCACAAAUAAGCAAAUAAAAUAACACAAUCACAUUAGUGGCCUAUUGUCCUUCAUUGUAGUUAUUUUUAAUACCCAAUAUUAAUAUUCACUAGUAUUUUAAAUUGUGGUUACGAUUGUAAUCAUUAUGAUGCAGAUUGUACUGUCAAUUAUUUUGUGAGUACUUUUUUUUAAAUUGCAGCCUGAUGCAGUUGUGUUACGGCCCAAAUAUGGUUAGAUGCAGUUGCGUUGCAACCCAAUGUGACCUCAUCAUUGUGAUUCAGCAUCACAUCACAAUUGUUACGAUAUAAUGCGAUUGCAACGGUCACCACAACCACAAUAUUGUGGCUGGAUCACAUAAUGCGGUCCACAAUUUAAAUAACUUGACCAAUUAAUAACACUUAAGAUAGUGGCAACAACAACUACACAUAUUGUUGUAAGACUUGUAAUUUGUAGCAUUAGGAAAUUAAUAGGUGUGACCUUCAACGAUGAAAAUGAGCUGAGGAUAAUUAGUGUAGGAUGGCAAGUGCAGUCCUUGGGGCUGAAUGGUGUGCUUUUCAAAGGCAACACCAGCACAGCGUAGCUCAGGUCGGUUGGAGUUCCAUGUCUCAGUGACACCACCCUCAGACUCAACGCGGUUAUCGGGUUCUAACGCGUUGAGUCUAUCGAGUUGGCACUCCUUGUACCUUUCAGGCCUUUCUGCUAAGCAGAGACUAGAGAGUAACAGUAAGCAAAGGGAAAAAGAGAAUAGACAAGGCUUUGCCAUUGUGAUGGAACAAACAGUAGCAGACUGAACUUGGUGAAGAGGAGAACCUGAGCCAUGAUUAUUUAUAGUGAAGAUAUGAGGGUAAAUGAGGGACACGUAGUGAAGGUGUGUUUCCGAGCUAGUGACAUUCUUCAUUAUGCAUGGCUAUUGAAACAUAGAGUUGUUACACCUCAUAACUUUAGUUCUUCAUGAUUCACAUAAUAAUCCAAAGAAUGGAAUUGUUUGUAUGUUUCAUUCAUAUCUUGAUUCUGAUGUUAAAUGAAUCUGGCCAAAAUUGGAGGGACCCUAGAUGGUCCCCUUGUAGAUCCUCCGCGUCUAUUAUUGUCCUAUGUUCUUAAUUUACCUUUUAAUUUGUAGUGCAUGGAUUUGAGUUAUAACUCAUUAUGGAUUCUUUGCCUUGCAUAUUAUUUCAUGAUGGACUUUUUCAUUCAUGUCUCAUAUCUAAUUAGAAAAUGAGUUUAAAAUUUGCAAUAAUAGUAUAAAGUUUUUUAUAAUCUACAUCGAUUUAUAUUACUUUUGUUUGAGAGUCAAUGCUAGUUAACAAAUGAUUUAUUGACAGUGUAAAAAACACUUACACUGUCAGUGCAUACAUAUUAAAUCUUUAGAAAAUAUCAUUUCAUUAAAAAGAAAGAGGGAGAUUCACUUAUUUCAUCGUAGCCAUCAAUUCUACGAACAUCUAAUGAUUUAGAUCUAUUCACUAAUUCAAACUAUUGGAUUUUUCUAUAAUUGAUGGUUAAGAUAAGGAGUAAAUUUACACCUGGAGUGAGUGAAUCCUCCUAAAAAAGAAAAAUCAUGAUAAUAAAAAUUAAUAUUUUUAUAUUAUUGUGUAAUAUCUGGUUGGCUAGGGACAUAAAGAAAAAAAAACCCCUUGAAACAAAUAAAUUUGUAUAAUAGACUUAAUAACAUUUCAAAAGUUAUUUUGGAAACUAAGUUUUGAAUAUUGUGUACAUUUAUUUUAAUAUCUUACUUGCCCUUUAUCUUUGUUGUAUAUAUGCAUUAAAAAAACAUAUCAAAGUUGAAAGUAACAUCCUAUAUUAUCAGAAAAGAUGUAUCCACUGAUAUAAAUGUCAUGCAUGUUUUUUACACUAUUAUUGUAUCAUUUAAUAUUCAUGUUGAAUUAACUCUUAAAUACAAAUAAUCCAAAUAAUAACUCAAUGUUUUUUAGACAUCCUACAUUAUUCCACAAUAAUGUAUUGAACAAUCUUGAAUUUAAUGUCAUUUGAGAGAAAAAAGUUGUAGCCCAAGGGGAAAAAACAUUUGAGAGAACAAUUCACAUUUAAAUGUGCCAUCUUAAUAUAGUUAUUGAAUGGUGUAAAAAUAUUGAGGGAAAUAGUUUUUCAUGUAUUCUUUCUUUAAACUUCAAAGGACGGGAAAGGCCAAAGUCCGGAAUACAGAAGAAGAAAACUAAUUGGAUCUGCACCUUUAUUACGUAGAUAAUAAUUGUGGCUCCACAAAUAACCAUUAUAUAUCAGAAGUUAUCACAAUAUAUGUGAAGGGAUUAAUUAUAUUCUGAAAUGCAUAAUAGAUAAUACACAUCACGGUCAAUAUGAAUUCCAUAACCGAACUGUUGUGUGUUGGCAUGAAAUCUCUCACUUUUGGUUUAUUUCUAUCUCAAAAUAAUUAAAAAGAAAAAUCAUAAAAAUAUAUAAAAAAUUUUAUAUUAUUUGAUGAAAUGUGAUUAGUUUCAGAUAUAAAGAUAUAAAUUUUUUGGGUCAUGUAAUUCUUGUAGAAAAAUUGAGUCAUUUUAAUAGAACAAAGAUUAGUUAUCCUAAAUUAGGAUGAAGAUCACAUAUCUUAACUUGGUUUUCACAUUCAUGUCUCAUUCUAAUUAGAUCUAGACACGUGUAAUUAUGUAUAUUUGUAUAAAAUAAAAUGUUAUUUUUUAUUUGUUGACAAAUAUUGAUUGGUUCGAGACAUGAAAUAUGAUAUUGUAAGGGACAUAAGAUCUCCUUUCCCUAAAUAAUGUCUAUCAUGUCCCUCACCAAUAAAAUUAUGUUUUGUCAAUUACAAAAAUUAAACAUUCAUUGUUUUUCUAAUUUUCCUUUAAUAUUGCGAUAUAUAAUUUGUUACAUACUUAACUAAUUUAUUUUAGUAGGUGUUAGAUUAGAGCACUAAAUUGAGACAAUAGUAAAAAGCAGAUUAUUGAGAGGAAUCUUGCAUAGUAUCUAAUUAUACAUUGAAAGGGUAGCAUCUCUAAAACAAUCAGCCUUUAUUUCACUAAUUAGGAAUGAGCACAUGGUUCCAAAUAUAUUAUAAUACAUUUGAUAAAUUAUUUUCCUUGAGAAAACAUUGUUCACAUGUUUAAACUGUACUUGAGUUGUAAUUUUACAAUCUUUUCUACAAUAUAAGCUCCUCUAAUAUUCUCUUCAAUGUAUUCAUUUCUAAUUGAAUUAUUUAAUAUGACACCUAAAAGACUCUAGCAUUUCAUCCUUUCAUCUACUACAGUUGAAUUUUAUGGUUUACAUCUCCACCAAUUUCACUAUUGUGUUAUAUAGUUGACCUAAAUAUCGUGAAUUUUGGUAUGUUAUGAUCAUCAAGCUGUACUUCUACAAUAGGGUUUGUCUGUCUCUUUCUAAACUUAUACUCCAUAUAUUUUGUCUUACUUCGACUUAUAAUAAAGUCUUGUGCUUCUAAGAUUUGAUUCCACAUUUCUAGUUUCCCAUUUAAUUUCUCUCUCAAUUCUCUAACUAGGACAAUAUAAUACAUAAAAAUCAUCCAGUGUGGCACCAGCUCUUAUAUAUGCUUAGUAAGCGCAUGUAAAAACAAUGUUAACAAGUGAGGGCUCAAUAUUGACCGUUGGUGUAGUCUUGUAAAUAUCUUAUGAACAUUCUCACAUGCUUCUUGACCCAAUUAUACAUAUUUUUUGUUGCUCUAAGGUAGACAAUUUGAACACAUUUCUUUGCUAGAACUUUCUACAAUACCUCUCUAGACACAUUAUCACAUGCCUUCUCUAAAUUAAUGAAAAUAAUGUGCAAGUUCCUUGAUUCCUUCGAUAUCUCCAUCAAUAAUCAUAGCAAAUAUAUAACAUUCACGGUUGACCUCCCUAACAUAAAACCAAAUAAUUUUCAGUGAUAGAGUUUAUAGCAUAAAACCAAAUUGUCUCAACCUCCGCUUAAUUACUAUUUAUGUCGACUCCAUAGUAUGUCUCAUAAGCUUAACCCCCUAUAGUUUAUACAAUUUUGUAUGAUGCUCUGUUCUCAUAACCUUCGAGAAUUCAAUAGGUAUAUUAUCUUGUCCAACCACUUUGUCAUUCUCCAUCGUUUUCAAAGCUUAUGCUCCAAUAUAAAAUCUACGAUAAAAUGUUUAAAUUUGAUCCUCCUACUAUGGGUUUAGUCUAUUAGAAAACAUGGAUUUAAAUCGAUCAUUGAAAAACUUGUGAAAGUAAUUUUUUCAUCUUUCCUUAAUAUCUUUUUAUCCUAAAAGACUUUACCAUUGUCAUUUUAAAUUUAUUUUACUUGGUCCAAGUCUCUCGUCUUUCUUUCCCAACCAUUUCCAAGCAUGUAUACGGUUCUUUCUCACCCUUAAUACCUUGAGAUUUAUAUAACUUAUCAUAUGUUUUAUCUUUUGAUUCACCUAGUGCCUUACUGGUCUCUUUUUUAGCUACCUUGUAGUUUUCUUCUUUCAAUUUUUAGUAUUUUUACACAGUGACCAUACUUUAUGACAUUCCAUUUUCACCUUAAUUUUGUUCUAAAUGCUUUUGUCUCACCACAUGAUUUUUUGUGCAUCUCCUCUCACAUAUUGUUAGUACUUCCUUGUGUCUCUCAAAACUCUUUGAUUGAAGCUCUUACUUUCCUCUUCCUUCAAAUUACAUCAUUUAAUUCUUGGGACUCUAUCUUGGUCUUUUCUAUUCACUCUGCUAUUAACUUUUACGUCUGUAACCAAAACUCUAUAUUAGAUAGUCAAGCUCUCUCCAUGUAUGAGAACAUGUAAUCUCACUCUUAUAUAUGAUAAGAUUCUCAUCUCACUUCCUAAAAUAAGUGUUGAUUAUUGUAAAAGCAAAAGUUGGAGAGAAGUUUAGAAUAGUCUUACAUUCCAUAUUUACUUCCACUAUGACGUAUAAUCCUUCAUGAAGACCUUCAAAUCAUUAGUGUCCCUCCCCACAUGCCCACUAAGAUCUCCUUCUAGGAAAAUUAUUUCUCCUAAAGGUAUUCCCUAGACUACGCCUUCUAAAUCCUCCCAAAAUUUUAUCUUGUAGUAUUCCUCUAGCCCUACCUAAGAUUCUUAAGCAUUAAUCACAUAAAAAAGAUCUUUCUUGUUACAAACUCUAGGGUUAUGAUCCUAUCUAUUGUUCUUUUUAUAUCCACCUCACCUUUCUUUCAUUCUUUAUAUAUAAUUAUAUUACCUCAUUUCUCGACCUUGUCUUACUCAUGUAUCAUAGUUUAAAAUCACAAACUUCUAAUUCCCUUGACUUUUCUCUUAGUUUUUUAUAGACACAUAAAAUUGAUCCUCCUCAUAAUAAUCAUUGUGUCUACUAAUUCCAUUGAUUUACCUAAAAAAUGUCUAUUUCAUGUUCUAAUUUAUAUCCUAGACUCGUGAAAUGACUUCUUUACAUGCACCUAUUCACAUAAGUAUGGAACUCUCACUACAUCUCAGUGACAAUGCAUCUGCCCUUAAUCUUUUGACGCUACAAACCAACUGAUAAAGUGUGUGUUGCUUUUGGGCAACAACCUAUCAUUGAUAUUACCAUUCAUAUAAUAGAUAUUUGACAAAGUUAUAUAACAGUUGUCGACUGCCUAACACAAGCUAUCCCUUCUAUUCAACAAUUUAAAAAAAAAAAAUUUAACUGUAUUUUUUACUAUACAUAUUCAUAUUACACAUUUACUGACUAAAGUUUCAUAAGCCACAUUGUAACAGUGUUGGUUAUGUGUUGAGCAAAAAUGCAGAAAACAAAUGUGUUACAUAGAAGGUUUGAUAUUAUUCAUCAACAAGACACAUAAUUUAUAGAACAUGAAUGAGUCACAUAAGUGCUCCAACAUAGUAGAUGAAAAUAUUACUAACAAUCAUAUUGGCUCUUUAUUGUCUAAUGAAUAGAAGCAUUACAGAUUCUGAGUCAUAUUAAUCAACACUCCUCAUUGACUUUGAAGCUGCAAAGUUCAAACUUUUGUCAUAUACUUAUUCUUAGAACCGUCAAGAUUGAACUUGGUUAUGUAAGUCCAUUUGACUUUUAUACCCUUCUUAUAGUCUUUCUCCAUCAACUGAGGAACACUUAACAAAUUUUGAUUAAUUUCAAGAACAUAUAAGAUAUCAUGAAUUAAUUUCAAACCUGUGUAACUUUUAAUUGCAACUUUUCCUUUGCCUUUUGUUGUAAUAUAUGCCACAUUUCCAAUUCUGACUUUGGAAAUAGCAGUUUUAUCAAAUUCUCUGAAGAGCUCUCGAUCAUAAGUCAAAUGGUUUGUACAACCACUAUCAAUGAGCCAACUUUCUGUAGAAUUGUUGGCGUCAAAGCAUAAUACUACGAACAAUUGUUCUUCUUCUGGUUCAUCAACAACAACCUUAGCUUCUCCUUGUUGUUGUUGUUGCUAAGACAUGCAUAUCUUUUCCAUGUGCCCUAACUUUCCACACUUAUAACAUAUUGCAUCUGGCCUCCACCAACAUUUGUUUUGUGGAUGAUUAGUUUGUUUGCAGUAGAAACAAGGUUGAAAAACUUCAUUGUUGCUACUUUGGUUAUUUGUAUUCGUUGUUUGCAGAACCUGCUGUUUUGUAGUUGUUAUUUUGCCUCAUUUUAUUGUGAUUCCAACCAUUGUUGCUUUGUAAUUUGGUUUGGAAAGCACUCUCUACUAAUCAUUCUUGCCUCAUGAGUCUUCUUUGUUCUUGUGCCUGUAAUGCAUUCAACAUUUCUGCCAAGGUGAUGCUUGAAAUAUCCUUAGACAUUUCUAGAGAUGAAAUUGCAGCUUCAUAUUUUUUAGGAAGUGUAACUAAAAUCUUUUGAACUAUUCUAGAAUCAGAAAAUUUAGUAUCAAGAAGUCUUACAUUGUUGGCAACGACUAGAAGUUUAUCAGAGUACUCAUUAAUUAUUUUCGAAUCUCUCAUCCUUUGCAUUUCAAAUUCUUGGAUCAAAUUCAUUACUUGCACCCCUUUGACCCUUUCAUCUCUCUCACAUUCUUCCUUAAAAAAAUUUCAGAUUUCACAUGUAAUUUUUAGUGUCAUUAUUACUUUCGUUGCUUCAUUUCCUUCUCAUUUUUAAUUUGUGCAAUAGUUGGAUUGUGUGGAAGAGUUGGAAUGACAUAAUCUUCUUCAAUGGCAUCCCAUAGAUCAUUAACAUCCAAGAAAACUUUCAUUCUAACAACACAUACAUGAUAUUUUUUUCCAUUAAACAUUGGAGGUGAAAAUGCAGCAUAAACUACUUCUGAAUUCAUUUUGAUAAUUUUAGGGAAUAGAAAGUAAUAGAGAAAAUGUUUUAGUUGUGUUUAGUUUGUUCUCACAUAUCCCUCAAGAUAUAGUUCUAUAUACCAAUUUGUUGGUUAUGUAUUGAGCAAAAGUGUAGAGAAGAAAUAUGUUAUGUAGAAGGCUUGAUAUUAUUAAUCAACAAGUCACAUCAUUUAUACAGCAUGAAAAAAAAAACUGAUGCAGAAAAUUAAAUCCAACAUAGUAGAUGAAAAUAUUCCUAACAAUCAUGUUGACUCUUUAUUGCCUAAUGAAUAGAAACAUAACGCACAAUUUGAGUCAUAUUAAUCAACAAAUAGUUUACAUUCAACACUUAUAUAUUCAGACAACUUGAUUUAAAACCCUGAUAAGUUUUACAUUUUUGUGAUGCAACCAUUUUUUUUAUAAACACAUGCUAAUGGUAAACAAUCUAUCCCCCAAAUGAUUAACUCAAAAUAAUGCAAAAGGUCCAGCAGUUCUCAAUGCUGAACUUAUAAUAAAUCAAAGUAACUAUGUUUGAACUAACUAUAACAUAAAAAUAUCUAUUCCAUUAACUCAUGUCUUUCAAGUCCAUAUGAUUAUAAAAAAUUAGAAACAUGUGCAUAUAUAGACAAUCAAUUCUAACAAUCAAGAACUAACAAGUGAUUGUUAGAAACAUGUGCAUAUAUAGACAAUCAAUGCUUGCUUCUGACAAAUUGGAGUGAAAGAAUAUACAAUAUCUUCAAAUUAAGUGGUAGCUUGGAAGCUAUUUGUCAGGAUAAUAACAGAAACAUAGGAAUAGUGGUUCUGGAUUUAAAUCUAUAGAACAUUUUCUUCUUAUUGAAAGUAGCAUUUGCCACUGUAAUCACUAUCUUCCCAGGUUCAUUGAUGUAAAAGGAGUUUCUAGUACUGUCACCAACUCUAUUUUGGUUUUGUAGCAAUACAAUGUAUGAGCCUUCAUCAUCUGGAAUAAACUCUUCCUUGUAGGACACUUCCCAUCCAACCACAGUUACAUCCCAUGUUAUUGUCACUCCAGGCUAGACAAAUACCAAUAUAUAAUUAGAACUAAGCAAAGUCCAAAAUGUGUCAAAUAAUCAAUUGUCCCGAGCCAAUGAAAACAUGUCAUGUCGAUUGAAAAUUCAAAACAUUCAUAUGGGACAGGAUCUGGCACAACAGAUAUGUGUUCGUACAACAUACCUCCUUGACUGGAAAUUCAACUCUAGAAACUGUAUUUGCUUUGAUUUUAAGUUCUCCAACCUUCUCAUCAGGCGAAAAUUCUUGGUCGUUUUCCCUCCUGAGACCACCAUAUUCAACUGGAAGAUGUUCUGGGGCUAUAACCCUUCACAACUCACAAUGUUAGCAGAAGAUGAAUUGAAUCACAUUAGAGUUCAUUCAGAUAAUGAGACAUUGAAGUUCAGGUUAAAAUCACACUCACUUGAGAAGAGUCUCUGUGGUAUUUUGUGGUCUAGCUAAGAUGAACCUCUUUUUAUUCCUCUGACUCAUAAGCUUUGAAAAUAGAAUUUGAGAGGUGAAGAACCAAAAUGGAGAAUACACCACUAUCUGCAAAUCAUAAAAUGAGGUGAAAACAGAAAACAAUCAACCUUUCUGUAAUUUUAAUUUAGAAAAUGAUUAUCUCACUUCACCUUAUAACUACUUAUUAAAGACUUUGAAAGCAAAAGUGAUUAUAAAAAGGGUGUGGAUAAAAAAUUUGUGAGAAUAUGAUCACUCAAUAACAUUGAUAUACUAACACUUUUGUGAAUUAUCUCAGGAUAGUAGUUCUGAAACAGAAUUAUAGUUUUCUUGCUGAUUGAGUGAAGUUCCUUCAUUCCUUGUGCUGGUGUGUUCCUUAAAUCAUAAAUCUGAAGUAUAGAAUCAACCCCUCCUUCUCUAAAGCUUAACUUCUUAAUAGCUUUUUCCAUUAAUUGAAUCCCCCACCUGAAAAACAUGUCACGUUUUUCUUGUGUUCCAAAGGAAACCUUAUACACAAGUUUGUCUCUAAAAAAACCACGAACAUGGUAACACACCGGGCGACCUUCUCUAUCCUUACCCUUUAAGAAACCGGCAUUUUCGAAAUCAAAUUCUUCAUCCAUGAUCCCAUCAAUGUUGUUCUCGAUUCUCCAUAUCAUGGUUUUUUGUAACAUAUCGAAGGCGUCAUUGACCUUGUAAUCUUUGGUUUUCAAGAAUUUCAUUAGAAUAAUAUCAGUGCCCUCAUGAGCCUUGCUUGGUAACAAAGGCACACCCCAUAGAGUAAUAUCUCUAAGCUUUUCCCUUGCAAGUCCUAUUUCCCCUUGAGAGAGAUUCUCAUGUCGUUCCCCUAAUAAAUAGUUCCCAAGAAUCGAAUCCUCAACUUUGCAACGAAAUUCCAAUAACGACUUCUUUAUCUUCAACUUAUUCUCAAUAGGAUUUGGAUUAUUCCCUUCUCCAUAAGUUUCCAAAUGAUCAAGAUCUUCUUGAUCAUAACAACUAUCCUUGUUUUCUUGAAAGGGUUUUUCCCUCUCAUCAUCAAAAGGCUUUUCUUCAUCAUUUACAUUCUUCUCAAUAUCAUUGAAAACUACAUGCAUAUUCAUCCCAACAAGGUUGUUAUCCCUCCCAUUUUCAUCAAUGCACUCAUCAUCAUGGCUAUCAAUCAUGGCUGUCAUGGUCAAAACUUUGUUUCAGGAAAGUUCUAACCGUAUCUAAAAAAGAUUAAUCUCUUACUUAACAGAUAGCCCGAAAAGCCGAAAAAACUAAAGUCUCAUUUUUUUCUUCUCCUCCUUAAUCAGAUUUUCCAGCACCAAGGACUUACCGGAAAAUUAAACCUUGAGGAGCUCAAGGAUUGAAGGGGGAAAGAUGGUCUUACAUGAAGACCUCCUUCAUUUUCAAAUAUGGCAAUAUUACAAGAUAAUGUUGAGUGAUGAUGGAUAUCACUACCCUGAAUUCAUGACAAUUCUCAACCAUUAAUUGAUUUGUGUGGAACCAAAUAUAGAAAUUGGUAUGUUUACAUGAGGUGGCGUAAUGUUUGGUUUCAUUGUCAAACCUUAUCAUAUGAUAAUCUAAUUAAACCAUAUUGGCAAUGUUCUAAGGUCAACGGUUUUUUCAUGCAAGAUAAUCAAUUCAUAUACCAAACUCUUUAGCAGAGACAACCAACUAUAUUAUUUAAAAGCUCAUUAUUUAUAUGUUUGAAACUAACAUUCAUAUCAUUUUUUUUUAAAAUAGAUCAUCAUUUACGUUGGACUCUCCAAUAUUAAAUAAAGAUGGUGGCAUGUAUACUAAUAUAUUUCAACCUUUAUUUUCAAUUUAAUCAAGAUAAUAACAUAUAUCUUAAUAUAUUUUUUCUUCUAUCUCACAUCUCACAUCUCAAUAUUGGAGAGGAUCCUUACCCUUUAUUUUUGUGUCCCUACAUACUUGUUUAUCAUUUUUUCUUACAUCAUUUCAUUCCAAUCUCAAACAUCAUGUCCCUACCACAAUGUCACCCCUAAGUUGCCCAUAUAACGUUACUCUUUUCUUCUUUUUGAUAGUGAAUAUCUCACUUCAUAUUUUCUGUUCCACUACACGCCAAAUGUAUCACUAUAUACAAAUUAAAUGACGUAGGAAUUUCUGUGUAUAAAUGCAUUUCUGUAUGACCAUGGUCCUAUAUACAUUCCUAAUGAUGUGUAUAAAGAAUAGUUGUUGGCUGGUUUAGUGAUGUGACUUGAAAACUACCUAAAUCAUUGUGUCGAGGUUCUUGUAUUUUAUACUGUAUUCUUUAUUCUAUUUGUCCAAUGAAAAUGUAACACAAAAUUUAUUCUUUAGAUAAAAUAAAAGAAAAAAUGAUGUAUGCGCUGAUAGUAUAAGAGUUUGUAUAUUAUCAUUAUAUUUUCAAUUAUUAUUGACUCUUAUAUAAAAACAAUAAAAACGAAUGAUGUUGUGUAUAAUUUUUUACACAUCUGUUUAAGUAAUACCUUGAAUAAAAUAGAAUUUCUGUUUUAUUAUACAUUAUUUAUAAACUAAAAACAUAAAUAUAAACUAAAAAUUGCUUUCAUGUGAUGCGGCUUAAAUCAAAAUUCACUGAAGCGUAUAUUUUGUACAAUUUUUUCUUCUUCUAUAAACAUACAGUUGAAUAAAUAGGAACAUAAUUUGACAUUAAAACACUAUGUGAACUUUCUUGUUACAGGUUUUUUAAAAAUAAUAGGGAAGUCGGUAGAAAAUAUAAUAUAAAAAAGGUAUAAUAGUAAGUUAUUCAAAAUAAGUUUAUUUCCAGUUAAAAUAAAUUGAAAAGUGGGUGGUUAUAAUUUACUCAAAUUAUUAAGUUCUUGUCUUUCCUUUCAAUAAUUUACUCAUUAAAUUGUACUUCCAUUUUCUAUGUGAUUCUAUUAAACAAGAUGCUAAUUAUAAAUGGUUUUUGUGUUGAAACAGAAAAAUGUAAUUCAAGUUAGUUAGAACUUACUAAAAAUAGAAGUUAGUUGAUUAGUAGUUAGUUGGUAGUUGAAGAUUCAUACUAUAAAUAGAAAGCAGUGUAUUUUGUUUCAAGUUGAAUAAGAAGAUACACACUUCAUUCAUAUACUCUUCUUUCAUCUUCUCUGCACAAUCUUCUCCUCCUCUAUUUUUCAUUCUCAUCUCAAUCUGAUUUCUAACAAACUGGUAUCUAGAGCCAAGAAAAGAAGAAAUGAUCUGUGGUCACAAGGAGGAAGAAGAAAGAGGCAAAUAUGGGGUAGAAGAAAAGUUGAUCAAUUGCUGCAAUUUUUGGUGGAGCCUUAAUCUGAGGAAGAGACCAAAGGCAGAUUCAUCAAAACAAGAAAAUGGUUGGCAAUGGUAGCAAUCUCCCAUCAAUGGGGCUCCCUAUUCUAACAGACAAGAAUUGGGAUAGAUGGAGAACACAAAUGAAUGUAUUGUUCAAUUUCCAAGAAGUGAGUGAGGUAGUAGAAGAUGGAAUACCUCCAUUGAAUCCUGAGGCAAAUGAAGGACAGAGAAUCACAUUCAAAGAUGCCAAGAAGAAGGACAAUAAAGCACUGUUCUUGAUUCAUCACUGUGUAGAUGAUGUGAACUUUGAGAAGAUUCAGAAUGCCAACAAUGCAAAGGAAGCCUGGGACAUAUUAAUUCGAAGCCAUGCAGGGGGAGAUAAGAUAAAGAAGGUAAAACUUCAAACCCUUAGGAGACAAUAUGAACUGCUAAACAUGGAGGAAAGUGACAGAAUUGGUGAUUAUUUCACCAAGAUUCUAGCCAUCACCAACCAGAUGAAAGGCUAUGGAGAACAGAUAUCAGACAUCAUGAUAAUUGAGAAAAUCAUGAGGUCCUUGCCUCAGAAAUUUGACUUCAUCAUUGUGGCAAUAGAAGAAUCGAAGGACAUCAAUGUGAUGAAAAUUGAGGAACUUCAAAGCUCCCUAGAGGCACAUGAAAUGAGAUUACUUGAAAGGAAUCCAAACAAGAAAGCAGAACAAGCCUUAAAAGCAAGUCACUAUAAAGAAGAAGAGAAGAGAAAAGACAAAAGAUGGAAAGGGAAACAACCAAGGAAAUGGCCUAUGCAUUCAGAUAGAAACAAGACAAGAAUCCUGAAUCUUCUGAUAGAAGAGGAGGGUCAAGAAUGAACCAGAAUCCAAAGAGGUUUGACAAAAGAAAGGUGGAGUGUUACAACUGUCACAAACAAGGCCAUUACUCUUAUGAGUGCUAUGCAGACAAAGCAAAAUCAAAGAAGAGUGAAGAAGCUUACACUGCAUAAGAAGAAUCAGACUUAGAACCACUAAGCUUAAUGGUGACAACUUAUGCAGGAGAUGCUCACACAGAGUCAUGGUACUUAGACUCAGGAUGCUCAAACCACAUGACAAAGCACAAGGAAUGGCUGACUGAUUUUGAUUCCUCUAAGAAGAGCAAGGUAAAAUUUGCUGAUGAUAGCUCACUUGAGGUAGAAGGAACAUGCAAUGUAGUUAUAAUGAGGCAGAGUGGAUCAAAAGCUUUGAUAUCAAAUGUGCUAUAUGUUCCCAAGAUGAAAUGCAAUCUACUCAGCAUAGGGCAACUGGUAGAGAAAGGGUUCAGUGUUGUGAUGAAGAAUGGUAUGCUUGAACUAUUUGAUCCAAACAAGAAACCAAUAAUAAGGAGAAAGUUGACAAAGAAUAGAACAUUUCAAGUUGAUAUCAAGGCAACUGAAGUAAAAUGUUUAGCCACUAUUGAAGCCAAAGAUGUAAGUUGGUUGUGGCACUCAAGAUUUGGGCACCUGAACUUCACAAGUAUGCAACACCUAGGAACAAAACAAAUGGUCACAUGGAUUCUUACAAUUUCUCAGCCAGAAAGAGCAUGUGAGGUUUGCUUGAUUGGGAAACAAACCAGAAACUCAUUCAAGUCAGAAGGGUACAUGAGAUCAAGAUCAGUCCUAGAAGUGGUUCACUCAGAUGUUUGUGGUCCAUUUGAAACUCCCUCACUAGCUGGAAACAGGUAUUUCAUUAUAUUUGUUGAUGAAUUUAGUAGAAUGAUUUGGCUAACAAUGUUGAAAGUCAAGAGUGAAGCAUUUGAAGCAUUUCUAGACUUCAAAGCAUCAGCAGAAAAAGAAAGUGGAAAACAACUCAAGGUGCUGAGAACAGAUGGAGGGGGAGAGUUCACAUCUAUGGAGCUUGAAAACUACUGCAUAAAGCAAGGAAUCAAGCAUGAAGUAAUCCCACCUUACACCCCUCAACACAAUGGCCUAGCAGAGAGGAGGAAUAGGACCAUAAUGAACAUGGCCAGAAGCCUGAUCAAGGAGAAGGAACUCCCACAAAAGCUAUGGGCAGAGGCUGUGUCAACUUCAGUCUACCUACUAAAUAGGUGUCCAACAAAGAAACUAGAGGGAAGAGUCCCUCUUGAAGUAUGGUCAGGAAGAAAACCACCUGUUGGCCACCUCAGAAUCUUUGGCUCAUUGGCUUUCAAACACACACCAGAUCAAAAGAGAACCAAGCUUCAAGACAAAAGUGAGGCAAUGGUGUUUGUAGGAUAUCAUCCCACUGGAGCAUACAGAUUAUUUGACUCAAUCAGAAAUAAAAUUCAAAUCAGUAGAGAUGUCCUGGUUUUAGAAAAUGAACAAUAGGAUUGGAAGAACAUGCAUACAAGUCUGAAAAGAAUUCUACCUAGACUAAAUGAAGAUGAGUCAAACACAGAAAAUCUAACUGAAAGACCAAAUGAAGAAGGAGAUCAAACAGCAGAAGAAACAUCCUUAACUCAAAGAUCACAAAGGCAGAGAAUAAGGCCUAUCAGAUUCAAUGACUAUGAAGUGCACAAUGAUGAUCAGAUAGAUGAAGCAGGAGAUCUGAUUCACCUAGCAUUAAUGGCAGAAGCUUUACCAAUAGAUGAAACAGAAGCCUUAAAACAGAAAGUACGGAAAGAUGCAAUGGAUGAAGAAAUCAUAUCAAUUGAGAAGAAUGAAACUUGGAACCUAGUUGAGCUUCCAAGGGACAAACAUCAAAUAGGGGUGAAAUAGAUCUUCAAACAGAAGAUAAAUCCUGAUGGAUCAAUCUCAAAAUACAAGGCCAGAUUAGUUUCAAAAGGCUUUCUGCAGAAACAGGGCCUAGACUAUACUGAGGUCUUUUCCCCUAUGGCACGAAUUGAAACAAUCAGGUUAGUGAUAGCUAUUGCUUGUGCAAGAAACUGGACACUGUACCAACUUGAUGUAAAGUCAGCAUUUCUCCAUGGGCCUCUGAUUGAAGAAGUAUAUGUACAACAACCUCCAGGCUUCAUAAUCAGUGGCAAAGAACACAUGGUGUACAAACUAAACAAGGCCCUAUAUGGCCUGAAGCAAGCACCAAGGGCCUGGAACAGAAGGAUUGACUCAUUCAUGGACAAACUCAGUUUCUAUAAAUGCUCAGUAGAGCAUGGAGUGUAUGUGAAAGAGGGAAACCAAGGAGAAUUACUCAUUAUCUGCCUAUAUGUUGAUGACUUACUAGUAACAGGAUCCAGCCUAGAAGGAAUUGAAGACUUCAAAAGUGUCAUAAAAGCUGAAUUCGACAUGAUAGAUCUAGGGAGGCUAAGUUACUUCCUUGGCAUGGAGUUUGCAUACACAACUUCAGGAAUUCUUAUGCACCAAAAGAAAUAUGCAAAUGAAAUGCUAAUCAAAUUCAACAUGGACAAAUGCAAUCCUGCAAUUACUCCUACUGAAUCUAAUCUGAAGUUGACAACAGAUGAGGAUGGUGAGUCAGUAAAUGAAACCAUGUUCAAACAAAUAGUUGGAUCUCUAAGGUUCCUAUGCAAUAGCAGGCCUGACAUCACAAAAGGGUGGGUUUAGUGAGCAGAUUCAUGUGCAAACCAAAAAAGACUCAUAUGUUAGCUGCCAAGAGAAUCUUGAGAUACAUCAAAGGGACUUCAAACUAUGGGAUCCUAUUUCCAACAAGAAAACAGAAACUAUCACUCAAACUGAUUGGUUUUUCAGACUCAGAUUAUGGUGGUGAUCUUGUUGAGAGGAAAAGCACUUCUGGAUACAUCUUCUUGCUCAAUGAAGCUCCUAUCUCAUGGUGCUCCAAGAAACAAGAAGUAAUUGCUCUAUCAAGUUGUGAAGCAGAGUAUAUUUCUGGUUGUUAUGUUGCCUACCAAUUCGUAUGGCUUGAAGAAUUGCUUAAGGAGAUCAAGACAAAGGUUGAGACACCUCUGCAACUCCUAAUAGACAACAUUUCUACUAUCAAUCUGUCCAGAAAUCCAGUAAGUCAUGGCAGAAGCAAACAUAUCGAAGUGAGGUUCCAUUUCUUAAGGAACUUGGUGAAUAAAGGACAGAUUGAGAUUGUUCACUGCAAAACCGAGGUACAACUAGCAGAUGGUUUCACUAAGGCAUUAAAACCAGAAAGGUUUGCAAAGCUAAGGAGAGGGAUAGGUGUUGAAUCUCCUAGAUACUUGAAUUAAGGGAGAAUGUUGAAACAGAAAAAUGUAAUUCAAGUUAGUUAGAACUUACUAAAAAUAGAAGUUAGUUGAUUAGUAGUUAGUUGGUAGUUGAAGAUUCAUACUAUAAAUAGAAAGCUGUGUAUUUUGUUUCAAGUUGAAUAAGAAUAUACACACUUCAUUCAUAUACUCUUCUUUCAUCUUCUCUGCACAAUCUUCUCCUCCUCUAUUUUUCAUUCUCAUCUCAAUCUGAUUUCUAACAUUUUGGACGUAGAGCAAAACAUUCUAGCAAGCAAAACAUCAUAGCCAAUCUGCUACAUAGAAUACAUAUGAAGAUAAAAGUCAUAACACACAAGAAAAUAUGAAUGAAGUAAAUAUAUAAAAGUUUGCAUUUCUAAUGGCAGAAAGAGCAUAUUCUUUGGUUUAGGAGUGUGCUUGUUUAGGAUUAUUUCUCAACAAAAUCACUUAUAACUUAAUGAAACAAGUUUUGUAAGAUUAUUUCCAUAAUAAGAAUUUGAAAUUAAUCAGAUUAAUUUCAUAUUCUACUUUGAUAAUUUGAUUACAUUCGGAUUGUAAUGGGGGUGUGGUAGAUGAGAGAUAAACAAUGCCCAAAUUAUGGAGCAUUAUAAAAUGGAUUAUUUUGGUCUGAAUCAAACAUAAUUCGCUUUUGAUUUUCACCAAAGUCUAUAAAAAUUAAAUUACUUAUUUUACACAAUCUAAAAUAAGUACUUUUUACAUCUACCAUUUUGGAUGACAAAUAUCAAUAUCAUCAUAAAACCAACUACAUUUCCAGUUCUGAAUUUAACACCCUUACUCAACCAAUAAUGUAAUUUCGGUAUAAUGCUAUAUGGUAAAAAUAUGUUACUCCUAUAAACUUUAGAUCAUUAUAAAGGAUUUACAUCAUCUUUAAUGAUUAUAUAACCAAAUAUUUGUUACACAAGUAAUAUUAUAUAUGUUAUAUAUUUGUGUUUUCGACUUAGAUUUUUUUUUUCAGCAUUCUUUUGUAUAUGCAUCAAAACAAAUUUGUCUUUAGCGAAUGCACAUAUAUGUUGCUAGUUUUUAACCUUAAAAGAUAGGGCCCAAAGUUCCAUUUAGUGGCAUGUUUGUUUUCAGAAAAUUUAAAGCACAAAACUUCAAAGCAGUUGGCCUCGUGUGGUGUUACAUUCAGUGCUCAUCAUGUGCAACAGUUAUGUGUAAAAUUUGUUUGUUUUUUUUGGCAGAUAGGACUUUUUUAUUUUAGAUUAAAUAAUCAUUUCUGUUUCUCAUGUUUUUUUGCCUUAACUAGUUUGAUUCCUAAAAUUUUGAAAAACACAAAAUAGUCCCCAAAAAAUUCAAAUAUUUGUUAAAUUAAUCAUUUUUUUAUGUUUUACAAUAUUUGAUAGUAACUAAUUUGACCUAAAAAUUAUUUGACUAACAUUUGAAUUUUUGGGACUAUUUUAAGUUUUUUCAAUUUUUGAGGGACCAAACUGGUAAAGUUAAAAAAUACAAGAGAAUAAAAUGAAUAUUUACUCUUUAUUUUAUAGGUGGUAUGAGUCAUGAUCAUCUAACCAUAGCCAUAAAUGUUGCUAAUUAGGUGUGUAGCUUAAAAUUUUGGAAAUUAGAUAUUACUUCAUAGUCUGUUUGUGAGUUGAGUUUUGAUGAAGGAAAAAGGAAAAUACAAAACUUGAGAACCAUAAAAUACACUAACGAUAUGACUUUAAAGUCUUCCCAUUGUUAGAAAUUCAUAAUUUCUAAGUAAGGUAGACAUCAUAUAUUUAAUACAAUUAUAUUGGCUAUUUAUUUUGGGUUACAAAACAUGUGAUCUAAUUAAUGACAACCUAUAAGACUUCUGAGACUGAUAACAGAUAUGAGCUUAAUGAGUAGAUACCCAAACGGUUGACCUAUAGGGGAUAAUGAGAACACUAUAAGUUAAUACAUAAGGAAUGGUUAUAGUACCCAAUACACCAAAUCACAAAUAGUUUUUACAUCUCCCCAUCAGAGAAAAAAUGAAGGUCCCAAAAGGAAUUAAGGAUUUGGUUGAGGAAGACCAUCAUACCAAAACUCUCUCCAAAGGUAUAUCAAAGGAGUAGAUGAGAGAACAUGGAUUCAGGUAGACUUUGGAUCCUUGUUUUCUAUUAUAUGUAAGAAUCAUGAUAUUCAAGAUCCUAGAAUUGAUAUUUCACAAAUCACCAGGAAAUAUUUAACAAGUGGUAUCAGAGCUUUAGGUUCUGAAUUUUAUGGUUCUCUAAGAUGUUUCCCCCAAUUUUUUAUGAACCCUAAUUUUUUUAAAUUUGUGGAUUUUUAUGCUUCCGCUAUUGGUUAUGAAAAUUGGGUAUUUAGGAAUAAUGAUGAUAAAUUUUAUUCGCUCUCGCAGAUAUGAAUUACGAGUAAUUUGUAUUAUGAAUCAUUGCAACAUGUGUUGAAGUAUAUAUUCAGAUCUGUGCAUGAACAUUACAUUAAAUUUUAUGACUAUAUUAUGUAAUAUGUAUAUUAUAUGUGCACUAAUGUCUUAAUGUUGUACAUUGACUUUUAUUACUUCGCAGUUUUUGUUUUUGCAAUUGUUAAAGUAUAUGUAUAAGGUAUAUAUAUAUAUAUAUAUAUAUUGUGAGCAACGUGUAUUUAUUAUACAUUGGGGUAUUAUGUAAUCUGAAUAUCUGCAUAUAUGUUAUAUAUAUAAUCAUGGUUUGAUCAAAUAUACUCAUGUAUAUUUGAGGUUUUUGAAUAUUGCUCGAAACUUCUAUGAUUCCCACUUGAUGCACAACGUGUGGGUGAUCUUUAUUCGCUCAUAGCGUGACAGAUUGGCAAGAGAAAAUACAUUUUUAUUGCCUUAAUGUAUGUAUAUAUAUAUAUAUAUAUAUAUGUGUGUGUAUAAAAUAAUUGACCAAAUAUAUAAAAAGAUAUGCUCUUGAUGUUUUAAAGUUGGGCAUAAUCAUAUUCGAUUUAGAAUUUAUGAUAUUGAUUUGCAUAUAUUUUUUAUGCUUUUCAAUGUGGAUGUAUUUUGUAUUUGAUUAAGAUUGCACCCAUUUUUAUAUGUUGAUAUAUAUGUAGUAUAUCUUUUUUUUAUUUGGAACUAGCAAGUUACCCGUGCAUCAGCACGGGGCAAUACUUCUUUGCUGUAAGAUUAAUAACACAUAUUACAUAGACAUUUAUAUGGUUAAGAAACACAUGUCACUCGUGCAUUCGUAUUGUUAAGAACACACAUGUGACUCGUACAUUCACAUGGCUAAAAAUACACAUGUUAUCUGUACAUUCGCAUUACUAAGAAAACACAUGUUACUCAUGCAUUCGCAUAGUUAAAACAUACGUAUUACUCAUACAUUUACAUUAUUAAGAAUACACAUCUUACCUGUAUAUUUGCAUAUUCAAGCACAUAAAGAAAAUAAAUGACAAUUUUUAAUUUGAAUUUUCUAAUCGAAAUAGCAAACUAAAAGUCUGAAACACGAUAGCAUAUUAUUUUUAUUAAAAUAAAUAUUUUAAAAUUUAUAGAAAAUGAAAUGAUUUUUCAAUUUUAAAUACGAUUUUUUUAAUGAAAAAAUGGAAAUCAAAUCGUUAUACUAUAUGAGUUUUUUAUUAUGAAUAUAUUUAAAAGUUAUAAAAAACUUCAAUUUGGAAUUUGAUUUUUUUAAAUUUAUAAUAGAGAAAAUUUAAAAUUCAAAGAAUCUAAAAUAUUAAAAUUCAUUGGGAAAAAUGUCACAAAACUUUGAUAAGGUGAAAAAAUAGAAUUAUUCUUAGAUUAAUGGUAAACAUAUACAUAGAUUAAUGUAAAAAAAUAGUUUGGAUGUGAAAAAUAAUUUCAAUCUCAUCUAAUAUUCAGUGUCUAUUGCAUUUUAACAUAACAAAAACCAAACGCUAAUCAUUAGUAUUAAAUUAUUAACAUAUAAAAUAUAUAAAAAGUAAAGAUAAUGUAGGAAGGUACAUAGUAAUAACAUAGAAUAUUUUAGGAGGGAAAGAUGUGAGAAGGUAGUGACAUGUGGCAUGAAGAAGAAAAUGUGAGGAGGAAGUGACAUGUGACAUGUGACAUGAAUGAGUUUUUAUUUUUUUUAUUUUUUAAUUAAUAACAUAGAACAUUUUAGGAGGGAAAAUGUGAGGAGGAGGUGACAUGUGGCAUGAAGAGAAAAAAUGUGAGGAGAAUGUGACAUGUGGCAUGAAUGAGUUUUUUUUAUUAUAUUGUUAAUAGAUAGAUUAUAUUGUGGGAUUAGAUUUGUUAAUAUAAAAUAUAUCAAAUCUGAAGGUAAUUAAUUUUUGAAUUAAUUGAUGCAAUAUGAUGCCAAAGUAACCUCUAUUGUGGAAAUUGAUUAAAAUUACAUAGAUGAGUAUGAGAUUAUUUAUGCGAAUUGUGUUCAGCACAAAGAAAUACACAAUUUGGCCAAGUAAUAACAUAUAUGUGAUGAUAAAUAAGUAACUAUUUUAAAGUUUUUUUCAUGUGAAUAAUAGUCGGUCCAAAGAAAGACUAUUGUUUGACAAAACUAAUUGUUAAUAUUUGAUCAUUACGUUGAGAGUACCACUUACAAAUUAAUUUCUCUGUCCAUAGACUAGAAAUUGAUGUUAUGUUAGGUAUCUUGUGAUGAGUAUAUUAUGUAAAAUUGACUUGUUAUAUAUAUAUAUUACCUGACUUGUUUAUUAAAAUAGUUGCAAUACUUAUGGUUUGUUGCAUUGGUUGGUGGCUGUUGAUUGCAUUAUUAAGUGGUUGCUAUUAUUGAAGUAUUGUUUCUGUUUGAACAACUUGCUCUACCAUAUUUAAUCAUGUAUAAAAUGAUAAUAUUUUUUAUAGAAAAUUCAAAAGGAUCAUUAUUGAAAUUCGAAAUGCAAUCUUUGUGAUGAGAAUGAUGCAAUGCUAUCAGUAGGCUAUAAUGAAUAUAUGUAUUUAUAUGUGAUAUAAAUAAUAUAUGUUUUGGAUUAAGGUUAUGUUGAAUCAAACUCAACUAGUGGUGCAAAUAUUUCUGCUUAAAUUAAGAACAUCUCAUUGCUGAAUGGGACAAAUUUUAAGGUCUAUAAGGAAGCCGUAUAAAUUAUUUUCGGUUGUAUGGAUUUAGAUCUAGCACUUUAGGUAGAGAAAUCCAUUUCUACUUUGGAAAUUCUCGAUGAGGUUAAAAUUUAGAAAUUGGAAGACUCUAACCGAAUGUGUCUAAUGAUCAUGAAUAUUCUAGAAGCGUUUCAUGGCUCUAUUUAUGAGAGUCAUAUGGCAAGGAAGUUCCUUGCAGAAACAGAACAUUUUUUUUGCCAAAAAUGAAAAGGCGGAGACGAGUAGCGUUUUGGCUAAACUCAUCAACAUGAAGUAUAAAGACAAAUGGAAUAUAAGGGAGUACAUUAUGGAGAUGUCUAAUCUCGCAUCAUAGUUCAAGUCACUUAAGUUAGAGCUUGGUGAUGACUUACUCGUGCACUUGAUUUUGAUCUCCCUUCCUACACACAUUGGGAAAUUCAAAGUGAGUUACAACACUCAGAAAGACUAUGUGCAAGAGGAAGAGAAACUGUAGAGAGAUAGGACUGAAAGUGUUCACUUAGCUAUGACCUCUCAGAAUAAGAAAAGAAAGAACAAUAAGGAUGUUGUGAAAGGGUUAUUUGUAUUUUCCUCAGAGAAUGUGGAGUUGUUCUGGAAUACACUAUGUUUGGAAAAUCUAGCAUGAAGGGUGUUGUUGAGCGAAUAAACCGAACUCUUAAGGAUAUGGUGAGAAGUAUGAUUAGUCAUUCUUACUUACCAGAGUUUCUUUGGGGUGAAGCUUUAAAGACCGCGAUUUACAUCCUUAAUAAGGUGCCAAGUAUAACAGUUAACAAAACCCAUAUGAGAUUUGGAGUAAUAAAAGACCAAGCUUAAAACACUUGCACAUUUGGGGUUUCCCAUCUGAAGUGCGGCCUUAUAGGCUGCAUGAAAGGAAACAUGACUCAAGAAUUGUUAGCUGCUAUUUUGUUGGCUAUGUUGAACACUCUCGGGGUUAUAAAUUUUAUGAUCCCACUUCAAGACUUUUUGAGACGAGAAAUGCAAGAUUUUUUGAGAAAGUUGAUUUUGGGAAGGAAGAUAACAUAAUGAAUGUUGUCUUUAAGGAAGAACAUGUCACUAAUGGUGAACAAGUUCUUGUACCUAUUACCAUUCAAGGAAUAAAUUCAAUAAAUAUAAGAUAAUGUUCAUAAUAUUGUUCCUGACAAUAUUCUAGAACAAGACAACAAUGAGGUUCUCCCUCAACUACCUAUAGAACAAAUUCAACAACCUCAAGAAGUAGAAGUGUCAUUAAGGACAUCCACUAGAGAGGAGAAAUACAAUUCUUGAUGAUUAUAUUGUAUUUCUUUAAGAACACGAGGAUGACAUUGGGUUAACAGAGGAUGAUCCAUUGAACUUCUGUCAAGCCAUGAAAUGUUCUAACUCUAAAAAGUGGAUUGAUGUCAUGAAGGAUGAGAUGAAGUCUAUGCAUGAUAAUGACGUUUGGGAUCUCGUCGAAUUACCUGAAGGUACGAAACAUAUUGGUUGCAAAUGGAUAUUUAAAACCAAGAGGGAUUCGAAGGGUAAUAUUGAUAGAUAUAAAACUCGUCUAGUAGCUAAAGGCUUCACUUAGAAAGAAGACAUUGAUUAUAAAUAAAUCUUUUCUCCAGUAUCUUCGAAGGAUUCUUUUAGAAUAAUAUUGGCACUAAUGGCUCAUUUUGAUUUAGAUCUACAUCAGAUGGAUGUUAAAACCGUGUUUCUAAGUGGUAACAUUAAAAAAACGAUCUAUAUGGUGCAGCCAGAAAACUUUGUGUAAAUUGACUCAAAGUCAAUGGUAUACAAAUUAAAGAAAUCCAUCUAUGGACUUAAACAAGCUUCUCGUUAAUGGAAUCACAAGUUUCACCAAAUUAUUACCUCGUAUGGUUUUGAGGCAAAUAAAGUUGAUGAUUGUGUGUACCACGAGUUCAGUGGGAGUAAAGUUAUAUUCUAGGUAUUAUAUGUCAAUGAUAUACUGCUUGCAAGUAGUGAUUUGGGACUAUUGUAUGAGACCAAGAGAUUUUUAACGAAUAAUUUUGAAAUGAAAGAUCUUGGGGAAGCUUCUUUUGUAUUAGGUAUUCAGAUACUAAGAGAUUGCUCUCAGGGUAUCCUAAGGUUGUCACAAGAAAGCUAUAUAGAUAAAGUCCUAAUAGAUUUGGCAUUAAAAGUAGUAAACUAGUGAUACCCCUAUAGCUAAGGGAGACAAGUUUAGUCUCGGACAAUGCCCCAAAAAUGAACUUGAAAGAUAAGAGAUGCAAAAUAUUCCUUAUACAUAUGUAGUAGGAAGUCUAAUGUAUGCUCAAGUUUGCACACGUCCCGACAUAAUGUUUGUCGUGGGAGUUUUGAAAAGACAUUUGAGCAAUCAUGUAAUGCAUCAUUGAAAGACAUUCAAAUUAGUUAUGCGUUACUUAAAGAGAACAAAUGAUUACAUGUUCACUUAUCGGAUGUCUGAGAAUUUAGAGAUCAUUUGGUAAUUUGACUCUGAUUUUUUGGGUGUCUAACAACAAACACUACACCUCUGGAUAUAUGUUUUUUAUUGGAUGGAGGUGCUAUCUCUUGGAAGUCUGCUAAACAGACGCUCAUAGCUCCUUCAACCAUGGUAGCAGAAUUCAUGGUUUGUUUUGAAACAUUAUACCAUGACAUAUGGUUAAUUUUUGUCACUGACUUACGUGUGGUUGAUGGUAAGUCCACGGUUCUUUACUCUAACAAUAAUAGGAGUUCUACAAAGUAAAAUUUUAUUGAUAUCAAGUUUCUGGUUGUGAAAGAAAGUGUUCAAAAUAGACAGUUCUGUAGAACAUAUAGGGACAAAAUUUUUGCUAGCUAAUCUACCAACUAAGGGUUUGGUACCUAAAGUCUUUCAUGAGCAUAUUUCUCAUAUGAGCAUUUCUCCUUAGAAUACCUUAGCUCAGUGGGAGUCAAUAUGUUUUAUGAUUUACUUUGGACGUCAUAUAUAGUUUUAUGCAUAAUAAAGUUGAUGGUUUAUUGUUCCAUUUUGAAAUUGUGCAUUGUAACUAUUGUAUUUCACUUAAAGACUUUGGAUUGAUCUCACUAAAGAAUAAAGAAGGACCAGUUGGAAAUAGACAUGUUUAAGAUCACAUUGCAAGAAAUUUCCAUAUCACUCAUCCAUAUUUGAUCUAUGUCAUUUAGUAUAUUGGUAUGGUGAUCAACGUGGUCGAGUCACAUUUGAAUAUGAUGGAGGUUGUGGUGGUUCCAUAGUUGAUAUAUAAGAUGUACCAAAUUGUAUUAAGGAGAAGUCUAAAUAUAAAUAGCAUACAGAUGUGCGCCUAAAGAAUAUGUGAUAUAAUUGUUAUAGGAAAAAUAUUAAGCCCAAGUGGGAGAUUGUUAGAAAUUCAUAAUUUCUAAUUAAGGUGGACAUCAUAUAUUUAAUACAAUUAUAUGGACUAUUUAUUUUGGGGUUACAAAACAGGUGAUCUAAUUAAUGACAACCUAUAAGACUUCUGAAACUGAUAACGAAUAUGGGCUUAAUGAGCGAAUACUCAAACAGUUGACCUAUAGGGGAUAAUGAGAAUCCUAUAAGUUAACACAUAAGGAAUGGUUAUGGUCCCUAAUACACCAAAUCACAAAUAGUUUUCACCUCUCCCCAUCAGAGAGAAAACGAAGGUCCCAAAAGGAAUUGAAAAUUUGGUUGAGGAAGACCAUCAUACCAAAACUCUCUCAAAAGGUACAUCAAAUAAGUAGAUCAAAGAAUACAGAUUCAAGUAGACUUUGUAUCCUUGUUUUAUAUUAUGUGUAAGAAUCAUGAUAUUUAAGAUCCUAUGAUUGGUAUUUCACCAAUCACCAGGAAAUAUCUAACACCCAUUUCAUUCAUUUCCUUGAAAACUCAACCCGCAUUCCAAAAUUAGUAGGAGAUUGAUCGGCAAUUGACCCCGAGAAACUAGAUAACUUCCUAGUUAGAGGAUUAACUUCAAUUGAAGGUUAUGAAAUGGUUAUUACUGAUGAACAUUUUGCUCUCUCUUUAUAUGUCCAAACCAUACAAGGCGUAAUCAUUCAUCUUUUCUACAAUAGGAACAACACUAACUUUUUCUUGAUGCAUUUAUAUCUAAUCCUAUAUUGUCUAAUGUGACCACUCAUCCAACGAGAGCACAUCUUCUUUCCCAAAAUGUGUAUCACUCCAUGUGUCACUUUCUCUAAUUGGUCAGAAAAAUACUUUUGUUAAAUUUUAAACUUAAAUAUAUAUUUUUCAACUAAUCAGAACAAGUGUCACAAGGAGUGACACACUCUUUUGGUACAACAGAUGUUGACCCAUCAUCUAGCAUAAUAUUCUCAUCUUCUCAUCUAUAUUCUCAUAUUCUAUUGUUAAUAUUUUACACCCAAUAUUUAGUGCAUGUGACAUUGCAUGUCUUAUAGUUGUAUGGCAAAACUUCCCCUUAAGUUUUAGUGAUACAAUUUUAUCACAAAUGACACCUAAAACACUAUGCCAUUUCAUCCAAUUUGCUUGAAUCAUACGGUUCACAUAUCCAUCAAUAUUUCCAUUGUCUUGUAUGAUUGAUACAAAAUACCUAACUUGUAACAUCGUGUUUUAUAGAACACUUUUAAUUAAGUAAUUAGUAUUAAUGGAUUAAUUAUAGAAAUUAAUAAGUAAUAUUUUAGGCUAAACCUAAUUUGAGUUUUAGUCUUGUAUUAUGAUUUUCUUUCUUGCCCUAUUUUUUCAAGAUUUUUGGAUAAUAAAAGUUUCUGAGACGAUUUCGGGUCAUUUUAUCGAGUUUUCGACCAGUUUUUGAGUUUUGUAACUCGGAAUUGAAUUCCAAUUUCGCCUUAAGCUUAGAAAUAUUAUUUAUAGUCAAAAUAGACACCAAGUUUGUCUGUAACUCAUCUCUAGAUAUUUUUCACCUUGAAAUUUAAGUUUCGAAGUUUUAGGCAAAUAUCCUAAAUCGGGAGAUUGUAUAUUUCCGGACGAAAUUAUCUGAAAAUGUUCGGACACGAUGUUUAUCGGGAAAUUACAUCAUAUCAAUAAAGUUUGAAGUCGUCAUUUCAUGAGUGACUUACUUGUUACACAAGUAAUGCAAAAGCUUCCGAAAGCCCCUAAAACACUCAAGAAAUCCUCUUACUCCACCAUCAUUAGACACAUCAACUAUGUUAGUCUAAAUCUACUUUGCAUUAAAUUUUCUGAUUUGAUGAGGGUGAUGCUCUCCUAUAAAUACCUUACCCAAUUCUCUCAUUUUUACACUAAAUUCCCUAUACAAACUAAUGUAGUCUUUUAUUUUCUCUUCUUCAAUUAUGUUGUUCAUAAAGUAGAUUUUAUUUGUUAUUUAAGUAUUUUAUGAAGGCAUAACUAAAGGGGAUAAUAAUAAAAUCAUAUGAACCUUUAUGUAGUUUUUGACUUUUGUAAAUCUUGAAAUUUCUUCCUUGUUCUUAGAUGGAAAAACUAUAUCUUUGGACAAGGUUAGAUGAGUUAUUUGUUUGGAAAAACUAUGUUUAGGAAAAAAGUUUCUAUUUUAUUCUUGAAAGAUUAUGAUGUUGAUGAUUUUUUGUUGAAAAUGUUUAAUUUUUAGAAAGUAUUAUGUUUUAAAAGUGGUUUAGCAUAUUUUACUCUUUUAUUUCCAAGUUAAAAUUAUGAUUUGGGAUAAAAGAUGAUUUAUAAAAGUCUUGACUUCAUAUACUUAAAGUGUUAUGAAAUUUUGGAUAUUAAAGUAGUAGAAAGUCUUACCUUAGGAUUUAUUUUCAUGACUAUGAAAUUAAAACUUACUAAUCCUUGAGGUUUUUCCUAAAAAAUUAGGAGGUGUUAAGAUGUUCAUGAAAAGUUGUUGUGUUAAGAUGUUCAUGAAACUUUGUUUUAGUAGUAUACUUGAAAUAAGGAGAUUUACCUAAAAGUCUUGACUUUAUAAACUUCAAGUGUUAUGAAGUCUUAGAUGGUAAAAUGAUUUAAAAAUCUUGAAUCUUAGUUAAAUGAACUUACUCUAAAAUGGUAAGAUUUACUUAAAAAAUAUUGAUUUUGUUUAAAUUGACUUACUUAAAAAAUGAUAAGUGUAGCUUAAUGAUCUUAUUUUAAAAGGUUAGUUUUAGUAAAAAUGUUUUACUUACAAAAAAUAAGAUAUAUGAACUAUCGGAAAAAUGUAAUGAAAUAGGAAUACAUGUCUAGAAAGGUUCUGUCUAAGGAAAGACUUGGUAUUUAAGGGUGUCUUUACAACCCACAUCUCUUUCCUAGGAACUAGCCUUGUGUAUAUCCACAGAUUACGACAUAAUUCCGGUAUAAGUUUUAUUGAAAAUCUUACUUUAAAAAGUGUUAUUUGAUUGUAAGACUUUCAAUGACAAAUGAUAAUUCAAGGAUGUUCAACCUUGACUCGGAUUGACGAAAGCAAUUAAAUUCAUUUUAAAUCGGAAGUUUUAUCUUCGCGUAAAAAUUUAUUUUGUAAGUAUAAUAAUUAUCGCAUGUUAACUAAUUAACGUUAUUUUGGCGUAAUGACGAGUUCGAGAGGAGAUCGGAUCAAGUAAGCUCACCUGCAAACAAAGAAUCUAGCGACCUGACACACUCAGGUGAUGGAGAAAACAUCGUGACAUAGUGGUGUCCGAAUAUGUAUCAGGACCUCCAAACUCCCUCACAAGUUUGGAGGUGCCUUGGGUAUUAAGAAAGUUCGUACUUAAUCAAUUGCCUGUUUGUUUGGAUUAAGUACAACAAUAUUUCUUAUAUCGANNNNNNNNNNNNNNNNNNNNNNNNNNNNNNNNNNNNNNNNNNNNNNNNNNNNNNNNNNNNNNNNNNNNNNNNNNNNNNNNNNNNNNNNNNNNNNNNNNNNGUGCCCUCGCUUGAGCGAGACAGCUCUCGCUUGAGCGAGAGAGCUCCAUACAGACAUGACUUCUUUUUAAGUCGUCUGAAUGAUAAGUCUCAUAUAUACGAGAGCCUAAUGGCAUGUUUGCCAUCAAGAAGUUGUAAAGGUAAAUAAUUAUAAGAAAUUCUUGAAAGUAAUAAAACUAAGGAAUUGCUUUGUUAAAAGGAGAGGCCCGAGGGUGUGAUAUUAUGCCCACGCAGCGAGAUCGUUUGACUGUAAGAGACUUGGCUAGAGCAGUCGUCCAGGAUGAUUCAGCAAUGGUUCGCAGUGGUGCUGAGAAGUAUUAUGUUGUGCCCAUGCAGCGAGAUCGUCUAACCAUAAGAGGAUUGGCUUGAGAGCCGUCCAAGAUAAUUCAGCGAUGGUUAGUAGUGGUAUCGAAAUUAUUCUCUUUUUGUUUAUAUGUUAAGAUCGGGACCCACUAGAAGCAUUCUCGAUGGGAGAUGUCUUAGGAUGGGUAGAUCGCUAGAAAAGAUGGAUUAAAAGACAUAAUUUGCUAACUUCAGUUAGGGUGCAUAUCCAUGGUCAAAAAUGUAGUAGCGGAGAGGAAAUGUACAGGAGACGAAUGAGCCCCGAUAUGUUUAGAGGGACGGUGUUGAUGGCGGUGAUUCGUCAGCAAAGUCUUGAGGGAGAGUCUAGGUGAGAUGAGUCCCAUGUAUUCCUGGGAUCAGAUAGUGCUCACAGCGCGAACUAGACGAUCUCUGACAAUCCCUCUUUGCAAUCAUGAUCGAUGAGAGGGAUGCCCAGAAUGUGUGUGAUAUGACACCAUCCUGAAAUGGACAGUUCCGUUGGAAUAGAUCGAUCAUAUAUCCUUGCGAGGAAUAAUUUUGGUGCAAUCAAAUCAGCUUGUUAUGUGAAAUGUACUCUCGGUUAUUUCUGAAUAGUUAUUGAGAGGUUAAAGGAGUAAAGAUGGUGGACUCAAGCAUCGCAUUGCAUACAUGAUAUUCUUCAAUAUUGAUUCUAAAUUCUCGAGUUUACUUCAUUCAUCGUUAUUAUAUGCUUGUAUGAUCACAUGAUAAAUCUAUACUUGUGUGUUGUCUUGGUGUAUUAUUCCGUGUAAUUCCACAACGCCGAUGACAAGUUCUUCAUAGAUUUUUUACUCCCUCUCUUUUCUUCUGGUGUAUUUGUAUGCAUGUUCAGAUGGACUCAUCAACACUAAUCUGAGGUUAUCGCUUCCCUAUGUCCCAGGAGGGGACAUGGAGUGUUGAGGGUAAUCGACACACUUACACGGGUCCUUGCGACCUGUAGCUGGAUUGGGCAAGCAAUGGGUCAGUUAUGCAUCUUCCACCUUACUACGCAGUUCGGGAGGCAUUAUUCACUUUACCCGACCGAAGACCUGCAACCGUCAGACUUUCUGUACCGGCUGAAGCUCGAGGCGUACCAGAAGUUGUUAGGACCGGGCCCCAAACAGGAUUCUCAUCAUUAGAAUCGGCGCCAAGAGAGACAGACGGGGCCAUGCCAAGGGGGGACACCCUGGACCCCUCAAUGGAUUGGGGAGCGGAUGAAGUGGAGGAGGAGGAAGACAACGUCGACAAUGUAGAGCUUAUCUGCAUAGAAGACUCAGUUGAGGUCAUUGAGAUCACUUCUAACUCAGAGGUGGAGGAAGAACCCAGCGAGGCUUCCAGUGCACCUCCGGUUUAGGAGGUUUCUCUUUUGUUUUGUUGUGAUAGGAACCUGUGUGAGGUACUUUUUGUGAUGUCAAUGCCCCAACAUUAUUUUCUUUGUAUUUUCAGUUUUUUUAUUUUUAUUUGUGGUGAUGAUUAGAUUUCACCUUGUAAACAAUUUUGUAUUUAUUCAAGAAUUUUAUGAAUGAGAAGUAUUCAGAAAAGAAUUGUGUUCAUUUAAUUAUCUUCAAUAUAUGAAGAAUUUUAUUUCCACAAUGUUUGAAAAUGUGAUGUCUUAAAAAUUAAAUAAGGUAAAAGUGAAAAUGAUUUAUAAGUUAUAGGUUACAUAAAAGAAAAGAAAAAAGGAAAGAAAAUUUUAACUAUUUUUCUAAGAGAUUAAAUAUAUUAAAUAUGAAAUGAUUUUUGGGGCGUUAUAUAACUCUAAUGUCUUAUGGUAUGAUAUUAUCCUUAAUCUUUACCUCUAAAGUAGAAGUGUCAAAACAGGCCAGCCCGGUCAGGUCGCCCCGCCAAAGCCCAAAAAUUUAUAGGGCUUGAGUAUCAUUUUAGACAUUUUUUAUUGAAUUCGGACUUUUUAGCCCGGUCCGACCGAGCUAUAUGAAAACCGGGCUCGGGCCGGGCUUAACCGGGCAGGUUCGAGCUACCCGUUUUUCCUUUUUUUUAUUUAUAUUUUUUGGAACCUUUGACUUGAUAAAGUCUUAUGUGAAAAUUAUUUUACAAAACAACUUAUAAUAAAAAAUAGAUAAUAAAUAUUAUGUUAUGAACUUUGAAUAAAAAAUAGAGUAAUGUCUACAACAUAAAUAUUUAUAAAUUACAAUAAUGUUAUAGAGUUAAACAUUAUAUUAUUUUUCUAUUUUACAUAAUAUCAUUUUAAGCCCAAUAAAAAAUAAUGUAUCAAAUCAAAUUAGAAGACAUUAAACCAAUGUUGUAAAAACCAUUUCGUACUAGCCGGUUCAACCGGAAAACCGGUGAAUCGGACCCCUAACCGGUACAGUACAGGUGUUGAACCGGUUAAGUAUCAAAACCGGUCAAAACCGGCCAAUAUUUUACUAAACUGGCCAGUUUAUACACAUAUAUUUUUUUUUUGCAAAAAAAAAUUAAAUACUUAAAAACUCAUUACAAGGUGACUCAUCUUUCCAACCAUUCUUCAACACUUCAAGGCACAUGUUUCCAAGGCAUAUAUAAAUUACACUUUUUGGUUCCUAAUGUUCGUGUGUAAUCUCAGUGACAUUUGUGUAAUCUUGGAGUAGUGUGUGAAAAUAGGAUUUGGUGGAAAAAUAUAAUAUCGAUAUGAAAUAACUUUGACUCCUUGGUGUUAAAUAUUAAACUCCAAAUUUAUUUGUUUUGUAGAGUGAGUUGUGAACUUGUGUCAUUUAUUUAUAUUUUGCGGUUGUUAAGUGAUACUUUUGGAUUAAUAUGUGUUUUGUAAUUUAGACUUUGAAUUUGUUAAAGUCUUAAAGUUGUUUGUUUAUGUGAAUUUUUAGUAGAUUAUAAACAUGGAUUAUAAAUUUGAGUAUCUACCUAUUUGGAAUUUUUUUGUUAUAGGUUUUUAUAUAUAUAAAUAUAAGUAGGUAUGUCCGGUUUAACCGACAUGCGGUUUAAUUACUGAACCACCGGUUGAACCACUGUACCACUAUACCAGUACCUGACCGGUUUGAUAACCGGUACGGUUUUAACAACACUGCAUUAAACCUUAUAGAUUUCACUUUUCCUUUCUUAAUUGUGUAUCUAAUUAGAUUUAACUUCUAGAACACAAACAUAAUAAAGAAAAUAACUUUUGCAACAAAACUAAAAGACAAUAUAAUUUUUUCUCAUAAAGAACUUCAUACAACCAAAUUUAAUAUAAUAGUUCAUAAUAAAAGUGUUGAUAAAGAACAUACAAAUGAUACUAUUUUUUAUAGUGUCUAAAAAUUUAUAUAAUAUAGUGAAGUCCAAAUUAUAUUGUGUUAGAGAAUAAAAGUCCAAUAAAAAUGAGAUAUUUAAUAAAUGAGUUAUGUUAAAAAUUAUAUAUGUGGACUUCAAGUCUUAACUAAAAAAUCAGAAAUUAGAUCUAUAAGUUUGGUUGUAUUGGGCAUAGGAAGUGUGUUAAAAAAGUUAUACAUUAAUAUCAAAUAUAUAUAUUAAAUAGAUUAAAUAAGUUAAAAUUUAAAUAUUUUUUUAAUAUUAUGCAGGCCUACUCACCACAACCUGCAAUCCGCUUAGGGCAGAUUUGGGAUACAAUAUGAUAUGCAUAAAUUGUAUCCAGGCUUUUUAUCCCGUCCCGAUUUAGCCUGAACCCGAUAUGGGGUAGCCUGAACCCGUCUGAGUAGUCCAUUUUGACACCUCUACUCUAAAGUAUAGUUUAUUGGUCUCUUUCUAAAUGUACACUCCACUCAUACAACAUAAAACCAUGGUCUUAAAAUGAGCAAAUAAUUCUAUCAAGUAAUAACGAGACAAGUUAUUGCUCUUGCAUUUAUAAACAAAGGUAAAAAAAUUAUCUCAUUAUAUCUUAAGGACAAAAAUGUUAAAUCAUAUUAUUUUUUUCUUUUUUUAAGUGUAUUUGUCGCUCAUUAUCAGAGAGGAUCCUAAUUCCUUAAGAAGUGUUGGAUUUAUAAUAAUGGGAAAAGUUCACAAAACCAUCUUAAAUUUUACGUGUUUUGCAAGUAGACACCGUAAACUAUUUUUUCUUCCUAAUUACUCCUUAAACUUUAACUAUUAGUGAAAUUGGUCCCUAUAUGUUAGAUAUUUCGUGAUGAUUGGUGAAAUAGUAAUCCUAGGAUCUUGAAUCUCAUGAUUUUCACACAUAAUAUAAAACAAGGAUACAAAGUCAUAUCUGAAUCCAUAUUUUCUGAUCUACUCAUUUGAUGUACCUUUUGAGAGAGUUUCGGUAUGAUUGCAUUCUUCAACCAAAUCUUUAAUUCCUUUUAUGACCUUCGUUUUCUCUCUAAUGAGAGAGUUGAAAACUAUUUGUGAUUUGGUGUAUUGGGGAUCAUAACCGUUCCUUAUGUGUUAACUUAUAGGGUUCUCAUUAUCCUCUAUAGGCCAACCAUUUGGGUAUCCCUCAUUAAGCUCAUAUUCGUUAUCAGUUUCAUAAGUCUUAUGGUUUGUUAGUAACUUUUUUUUGUUUCCCAUAGGUAUCCUCGCACUGUAGGCAAUCCUGUCCUAGCCGGGAACAUCCACAGGUAUGUGGGGCUAACUCUCCUAGCGGGUAUUUUUUCCAUCCAGUAGACUUGAACCCGAGACCUUGUUUAAGGGGAAUCAAGCAUGUACCACUUAAAUCAACACCUCUUCGUAGUUUGUUAGUAAUUAGAUCACUUAUUUUUUAACCCAAAAAUAAAUAGUCGAUAUAAUUGUAUUAAAUAUAUUAUGCUAACCUUAAUUAUAAAUUAUGAAUUUCAAACAAUCUCCCACUUGGACUUCAUAUUUUUUCUGAACAAUUAUAUCACAUUCUUUAGGCGUGUAUCUGUAUGCUAUUUAUAUUUAGACUUAUCAUUAAUACAAUUUGGUCCAUCUCGUAUAUGAACUAUGGAACCACCACGACCUUCAUCAUACUCGACCACGAUGAUCACUAUAUUAAUAUACUUAAUGACAUAGAUCAAAUAUGGAUAAGUGACAUUGAAAUUUUAUGCAAUGUGAUCUCAAACAUGUCUAUUUCCAACUGGUCAUUCUUUAUUCUUUAGUGAGAUCAAUCCAAAGUCUUUAAUUGCAACACAAUAUUUAUAAUACACAAGUUCAAAGUAGAACAAUAAACCAUCAACUUUAUAAUGCGUAAAAUUAUAUAUGACGUCCAAAGUAAGUCAUAAAACAUAUAGAAUCUCACUGAACUAGAGCAAUACUCAUUGAGCAAUAUUCUCAUCAAAGACUUUAGGUACCAAACCCUUAGUCAAUGGAUCAACUAGCAUAAAAUUUGUCCAUAUAUGUUAUAUGAUUUUUUUUAUUUUGAACACUUUCGUUAACAACCAGAAACUUUAUGUCAAUAAAAUUUGACUUUGUAGAACUCUUAUUAUUGUUGGAGUAAAGAAUCGCAGACUUAGUGUCACAAUAAAUUCUCGAUGGUCUUUUCAUACCAUCGACCACAUGUAAGCGAAUGACAAAAUUUCUACAACCAUAUUGCAUGGUAUGAUGUUUCAAAAAAAAACCAUGAACCCCACAACCAUGGUUGAAGGAGCUAUGAGUGUCUAUUUACAAGACUUCCAAGAGAUAUCACCUCCAACCAACAUAAAUAUAUAUCCAAAGGUGGAGUACAUGUUAUCUAAACAUCUAGCAAAAUUGGAAUCAGAGUACCUAAGGAUCUCUAAAUUUUCAGACAUCUGAUAAGUGAGCAUGUACUCAUUUGUUCUCUUUAAGUAACAUAACACGUUUGAUUACCUUCCAGUGAUGUAUUACAAGAUUGCUCAAAUAUCUUUCCAAAACUCCCAAGACAAACACUAUGUCUGGACAUGUACAAACUUGAGCAUACAUUAGACUUCUUACUGCACAUGCAUAAGGAAUCUUUUGCAUCUCAUUUCUUUCAAGGUCAUAUUUUUUUGGGCAUUGUUCGAGAUUAAACUUAUCUCCCUUAGUUAUAGGGGUAUCCUCUGGUUUACUGUCUUUCAUACCAAAUCUAUCUAGGACUUUAUCUAUAUAGCUUUCUUUUGACAACCUUAGGAUACCUUGAGAGUGAUCUCUUAGUAAUUGAAUACCUAAUACAAAAUAAGUUUUCUCAAGAUCUUUCAUUUCGAAAUUCUUUGUUAGAAAUCUCUUGGUCUUAUGCAAUAGUCUGAUAUCACUACUAGCAAGCAGUAUAUCAACGAAAUAUAAUACCAAAAAUAUAAUUUUACUCCCAUUGAACCUAUGGUAUACACAAUCAUCCACUUUAUUUGCCUCAAAACUAUACGAGGUAAUAACUUGAUGAAACUUGUGAUUCCAUUGACGAGAAGCUUGUUUAAGGUCAUAGAUGGAUUUCUUUAAUUUGUAUAUCAUAGACUUUGAGCCAAUUGACACAAAAUUGUCUGGUUGCACCAUAUAGAUCGUUUCUUUAAUGUCACCAUUUAGAAGCACAAUCUUAACAUCCAUUUGAUGUAGCUCUAAAUCAAAAUGAGCUACUAAUGCCAAUAUUAUUCUAAAAGAAUCAUUCAAAGAUACUGGAGAGAAGGUUUCUUUAUAAUCAAUGCCUUCUUUUUGAGUUAAGUCUUUAACAACUAGACGAGUUUCAUAUAUGUCAAUAUUAUCUUUUGAAUCCCUCUUAUCAUGCAUAGACUUCAUCGCAUCGUUCAUGGCAUCAAUCCACCUUUGAGAGUUAGAACUUUUCAUGGCUUGACAGAAGCUCAAUGGAUCAUCUUCUGUUAACCUGAUGCCAUCUUCGUGUUCUUGAAGAAAUACAAUAUAAUCAUUAGGAAUUUCUCUUCUCCUCUCUCUAGUGGAUCUCCUUAAUGACACUUCUACUUCUUCAGGUCGUUGAAUUUUUUCUAUAGGUACUUGAGGAACAACAUCAUUGUUUUCUUGUACAAGAAUAUUGUCAGGAACAAUAUACUCUUCUAUUACCGAAGUUAUUCCUUGAAUGGUAAUAGACACAAAAACUUGUUUACCAUUAGUGACAGAUUCUUCCUCAAAGACAACAUUUCUUAUGUUCUCUUCCUUCCCAAAAUCAACUUCCUCAAUAAAUUUUGCAUUUCGUGUCACACAAAAAAAGUCUUGAAGUGGGAUCAUAAAAUUUAUAGCCCUGAGAGUGUUCAACAUGGCCAACAAAAUAGCAGCUAACUUUUCUUGAAUCCAGUUUCCUUUCAUGCGGCCUGUAAGGCCGCACCUUAGUUGGAAAACCCAACUGUGCAAGUGUUUUAAGUUUGAUCUUUUAUUACUCUAAAGCUCGUAUAGGGUUUUGUUAAUUGCUUUACCUGACAUGCUAUUAAGGGUGUAAACUGUGGUCUUUAAAGUCCUCCCAAAGAGACUCUAGUAAGGGAGAUUGACUAACCAUACUUCUCACCAUAUUCUUAAGAGUUCGGUUUCAUUGCUCAGCAGCACUCUUCAUGCUAGGUUUGCCUAGCAUAGUGUAUUGUGGAACAAUUCCAUAUUCUCUGAGGAAAACACAAUUAGUCAUUUCACAACAUCUUUAUGGUUCUUUCUUUUCUUAUUAUGAGAGGUCAUAGUCAAAUGAGCACUUUCAGUCUUAUCUCUAUGCAGUCUCUCUUUCUUUUGCACACACUAAGAUAUAAACUCAUUGAGAGGCCAUUUGUCCUUUUGAGUGUUAUAGCUCACUUAGAAUGGCUCAAAGUAUGUAGGAAGCGAGAUCAAAACCAAUUGCACGAGCAAGUCAUCACCAAACUCUAACUUAAGUGACUUGAGUUUUGAUGUGAGAUUAGACAUCUCCAUAAUGUACUAUCUUAUGUUCCAUUUGCCUUUAUACUUCAUGGAGAUGAGUUUAGCCAAAAAGCUACUCGUCUCCGCCUUUUCAUUUUUGCAUAGUAUGGUUCUAUUUCUUCAAGGAACCUCCUUGCACUCUAACCCUUAUAAAUAGAGCCCCAAAAAGCUUAUAGAAUAGAGUGUUUCAUGAUCAUUAGACACAUUCAGUUAGAGUGUUCCCAUUUCUCAAUUUUAACCUCAUCAAGGAUUUCUAGAGUAGAAACGAGUUUCUCCACCUGAAGUGUCAGAUCUAAAUCCAUACCACCGAGAAUAAUUUUUACGGCUUCCUUAUAUACCUUAAAGUUUGCUCCAUUCAGCAAUAGGAUGUUCAUAAUUUAAGCAGAAAUAUUUGCAGCACUAGUAAAAGAACAAAACAAAUUGCAAUCAUUCUUGCAAUUAAACUCACAUUCAACUUUAUUGCUUAAAUUCAAAUGAUGGUGGAGCACAUCACGAGUUACCUAACACAAAAUUAAUAUUCAGUCUUUGGACAAAAAUAUUAACUUGUAAAUGAUACACUCAAUGUAGUAAUCAAAUAUUGAUAAUUAGUCAUGUCAAACAAUAAGUUAUUCUUUGGACUGGCUUAUUAUUCACAUAAAAAGUCAUAUGAUCAUCACAUAUUUAUUGCUAGAAGUAUGCUUGUAAUUUUGGCCAAACAAUAAUCUUCUUUUGGGUCGAUCACUAUUCGCAUAAUAUGCAAAAUAUACAAUUAACUUGAUAUUUCAUAUCAAUCACUAAUGAUACUCUUGUUUGUGAUGGUCAAACAUUGAUCAUAAUACAUGUCAAAUAAGAAUCCAUUCUUUGGACUGAUUUAUCAUUCACAUAUGCAACUUUAUAAUAAUCACAUGUUUGCCAUCAUAUGUGUGUAUUUAAUUCGACCAAAUAAUAGUCUUCCUUUAGGCCGAUUAAUACUCGCAUGGAUACAUAUGUGCACUAGCAUUUGAUAUUUAUUAUGAACAAUUCAUAAAAAAAUAUCACUUUGACAACUUCUUGUUUAAUAGGUUCACUUAAAAUGUCAAACAAUUUUAUUUUAUAAAAAAACCAUUUAGUUGAGUUUGAUUCAACAUAAACCUUAAUCCAAAACAUAUAUUAUUUAUAUCCACAUAUAAAUAUAUAUAUCCAUUAUAACCUAUUGAUAGCAUUGCAUCAUUCAUAUACAAGGACUGCAUUUUGAAUUCUAGUGAUUGUCCUUUUGAAUUUUCUAUAAAACAAUUAUCAUUUUAUACAUGAUUAAACAUGGCAGAGCAAACUCGCCACACAGAAAUAUUGUUUCAGCAAUAACAAUCACUUAAUAAUGCAAUCAGACACCAACCAAUGCAACAAAUCAUAAGUGUUGUAACCAUUUAAACAAACAAGUCAGGUAAUAUAUAAAACAAGACAUGUUCACAUAAUAGACUCAUCACAAGAUACCUAGCACAAUAUCAAUUUCUAGUCUUUGGACAGAGAAAUUAAUUUGUAAGUGGUACGCUCAACGUAAUGAUCAAGUAUUAACAAUUAGCUCUGUGAAACAAUAGCCUUUCUUUGGACCCACUAUUAUUCACAUAAAAAAAAAACUUUAUAUUUAUUACAUAUUUAUCAUCACAAGUAUGUUAUUAUUCGGUCAAAUUGUGUUUUCCUUUGGGUCGAACACAAUUCGCUAAAUAAUCCUAUACUCAUGUGUGUAACUUUAAUCAAUUUCCACAAUAUAGGUUACUUUGGCAACAUAUUGCAUCAAUUAAUUCAAAAAUAAUUAUCAGACAAAAGUAAACAAUAUGGGUCUAUUAUAAAAAAAAUAUAAUUUUGGAAUUAAAACCUUCAGAUUUGAUAUCUUUUAUGAUUAAGAUUAACACAUAUAAUCCUACAAUAUAAUUUCAAAUCAAAAACAAUAUAUUACAUAUAUAUCAACUCAUAAAAAUGGAGACAAUCUUAAUCAAAUACAAAAGAGAUCGAGAUUGAAAUGCAUAAAAAAUAGAUGUAAAUCAUUAUCGAAAUUCCAAAUCGAAUAUGAUCAUGCAUAUCUUAAAACAUAUAUAUAUAACUAUUAAAAGAUAUAUAUAUAUAUAUAUAUGUGUGUUAACUUUAAUCAGUAAUUCCAAACAUUACAGCAAUUUCAAGCUGGAAACAAUUACAUAUGUAUAUAUGUAUAUUUUAAUUCGCAUUAUAUAUACAAUACAAGGCCAUGAAUUCUAUAUUGUAUAUGUAUAAAAGAUAAAACAUGACUUAACCCAUAUAUACCUUAUACAUAUACUUCAGCAAAAGUCAAUGUCCAACAGUAAGGCAUUAGUGCACAUAUAAUAUACAUAUUGCAUAACAGAGUCAUACAAGUUAAUGCAAUGUUGACGCACAGGUCUGAAUAUAUAGUUCAACCCAUGUUGCAAGGAUUCAUAAUACAAAUAACUCAUAAUUUAAAUAAGCAGAAGCGGAUAAAAGUUAUCAUCAUUAUUCCUAAAUACCCAAUUUUCAUAACCAAUAGCAGAAGCAUAAAAAUCCUCAAAUUAAAAAUUAGGGUUCAUAAAAAUUGGGAAAAAACAUAUUUAAUGGAGAAACAUAAAAUUCAGAGCCUAAAGCUCUGAUACCACUUGUUAGAUAUAUCAUGAUGAUUGGUGAAAUACCAAUCCUAGGAUUUUGAAUCUCAUGAUUCUCACACGUAAUAUAAAACAAGGAUAUAAAGUCAUACUUGAAUCUAUGUUAUCUGAUCUACUCAUUUGAUAUACAUUUUGAGAGAAUCUUGGUAUGUUGGUCUUCCUCAACCAAAUCCUUAAUUCAUUUUGGGACAUUUGUUUUCUCUCUGAUGGGGAGAAGUGAAAACUAUUUAAGAUUUGGUGUAUUGUGAACCAUAAUUGUUCCUUAUGUGUUAACUUAUAACUUAUAGGUUCCUAUUAUUCCCUAUAGGCCAACCAUUUAGGUAUCCCUCAUUAAGCCCAUAUUAUUAUCAGUUUCAGAAAUUUUAUAGUUUAUUAGUAAUUAGAUCACUUGUUUUGUAACUCAAAAAUAAAUAGUCAAUAUAAUUGCAUUAAAUAUAUUAUGCUCACCUUAAUUAGAAAUUAUGAAUUUCUAACACUAUAUACAUACGAUUUUAAAUUACUAAUAAUGAAAUUAAUAUUAACAAAUUAGAUGAUGUAAAAAUGAUUCUUAACUAUUGUUAUUAUGUUUCAUAGAUUCAUAACUUUUCCAUGUGGUGUUGCACAUUGGCAUGGUUUAAUUCCUAUAGCAUGGCAGCGUAACUCUAUUUUACUUCAAGUAACAUGGUAUGGUAACUUUCUGCAGGAAUUCUUGAAGCUCCUGAAAAAGAAAAGAAACAUAUAUGGAACUUUCAGAUACCAGAAGAAGCUUCAUAUUAUUGGACAGAACUUUAUGGUCAUUUAGACAACCUUGACCAAUGAUGAAAUUAUAAAAAUCAAGUUUAUGCAAAUUAUGAAUAAAAAAUAGUUUACGAUGACUACUUAUGAAACACAUAAAGUUUAAGGGGAUUUUGUGUAUUUUUACCUAUAAUAAUUAAUAAUAAUAAAUGUGUUGAAUAAAAUGUAAAGUCAAGAUAAAAGGCCUAAGUCCAGUGAAAUGUAAAAUCAAACAUGCAUUAUUCAGCUUACAUCUAACUGUCAUUACCUAUCUACCCCUGAUCAAAUAGUUAUUCCCGAAAAUAUCCCUUAUCAGGGGUUACUAAACUUAGUAUUUUUCAAACAAACACAACCUGCGAAGUGUGACCGUACGAAAACCGCCACCGAGUCUCACUCUCCGUGUUACAAACAAUGUCGCAAACGGCGCAUGUUGUCGUCGGUAAAUCACCGUCUUCAAUUAUUCUUUCCACAUAAACUUAUUCGAAAUACAAAAACCUUAGCCAACCUUAAACUAAACAAUAAAUACUAAAUAGCUGGUUCAAUUUCAUUAACUUAGUGGGUCUGUUUUUCAUUUGCUUAGUUUAAGAACUUGUAUUGAACACAUGGGUUUUGCAUACUUUGUGAGUUUUUUAAAUGUUUUUUCUGUUUUUCUCUGCAUUUUUGUGAACCCCAUGAAGGAGCUGGUUUUGAAGGAUAUAGUAUUCUGUGCCUUUGUGGGGUUUUGAUUGCUCCUAUUGCCUGCCAUAUGUUUGAUGAAAUGCGGGUUCUAAACCAUAGUAGUUGUAGGACACUUCAUUAUCAAAGGAAGUGCCCUUCUCCUCAGUUGCAUAGGGCUUUCUUUUUUCUGAAUACUUUCUUUAUGUUUGUUUUGAGUUUUGGCAAUGUUAUUUUGCUUUUCUAUGUGAUUCUUUCCAUCCAGCCUAAUGCCUUUAUUCAUAUCAAAGUGUGGUAAUUAGAAUUGGAUGGUUUUGAUGAUUGUUUUAAGUUGUAUCAUAGACAAUGGGUUGUAUGAUCAGUGUUCAUUACCUAUAGAAUGGCUCUCACCAAACUGAAAGCAUGGAUCUUUAGGUUCUGUUUUUCUUUGUGAUUGAAUGUUAGCAAUUGUUGUAUUUUGGGUCAAUUGGUUUUAUCUGCCAGCUGCUUCUACUAUAGUCUUAAGUCAUCAUGACUCUAGCAUGAUUAACUUAUUUUUAGCUGGCAUUUCUAUGGUUGAGUUCCCAUUAUUAGUCUUUUGUGAUGUGUAUUAUCCCUAAAUUCAGAGGCUUGAGUACUUGGUACCUUAUGUAGGGUUUCUGUUGUGACGUUUUGUGUCAUUUGAUGUCUUUGUUUAUUUUUUAAGUUCUCGUACUUUAUCUUUCUCUUUGUGGGUUUUUGUGUUUUCGAUGAUAUUGCAGGUUGUGGAAUGUCAGAAGGGAGGUGUCUCCCAUGCUCAGGUGUGUCUGGAAGAACAGCUGCUGUAUAUUCCAGCUCUUCUCUGAGUCAUUACAGAAUUCAUUCACUUGUCAAACUUAGAGGGCUGAAGUAUGCUUCCGUGAGUGCAUCUUUUGUUUGCGAAGCAAGGAGGAACCCUGAUUUCUCAAGGCAAAACAAGCACGGGUCCUCCAGAAGCAGGAACAAGCACAAUGAAGGGAGAGAUAGCUUUGAGCACUUUGAAGAAGAUAUGUUGUCUUUGAAAAAUGGACCCUUGCCAUCACUUUCUGCCUCUGGAAAAUCCCAAGCCACUGCAGUCCCUGGACUUAGAGAGAAGGAGAUUGUUGAGCUAUUUAGGAAGGUUCAAGCACGGCUGCGUGAGAGGGCUGCUACCAAGGAACAAAAGAGGGUUGAAGCUUCUCCAGUGCGGGGUAAAGAGAAUGGUACCGUUGAUUCCCUCCUCAAGCUACUGAAGAAACACUCAAGUGACCAGCAAAAUAAAAGCAGUGGAGGAGGCAGAGGAAAAGAUUAUAGUCUGGAUGGGUCGCAAGAAACUAGCCAAUACAACGGUCGACGAAGCACUAAAAUUUCUAAUUUGGAUAAUGCUGCAAAGGAUGAGUCCCAAGAAUCCAACAUCUCAUCUAUAAGUAGGCCUCAGUCAAGUUUCCAACGAAGGUCUCCUGUUCCUCGUGUAAAAUUCCAGCCUAUCGGUUACGACGAGGAAGAUACGAAUGUAAUCCAACCAAGUAGAGAGGUUAGAGUGAACAAUCACAAUCAGAGACAUUUGAAGAUUGAUCAUAAGGAGGGCCCUGGUUCUGAACCAGAUCUUGAUCAUGACUUAAAGACCGAUUCUGAACUAGAUCUUGAUCAUGAGUCAGACCAAGACUCUGAACCAGUUCUUGUUCCAAAGGAUGAGCUAUUCUUCCCAGGUAGGGAGAUUGAUGACUUGUCAGAUGAUGAUUCUGAACAUACCGAUAAUGACGAGCAUGCGGAGGAGGAGGAGCUAGUGGUUCAGCAUGAGGAUUUGAGUGCACUGAAGCUGCCUGAAUUGAGGGCAAUUGCAAAAUCUCGUGGCCUAAAAGGGUUCUCAAAAAUGAAGAAGGGUGACCUUGUGGAGUUGCUAUCUGGGAACUGAUUACGAUCAAGAAGGGACAACACAUGUCAGUUGAUAAAAUAGAUGUUUCCUUCUGUUUUUACCCUGCAUUGUAUUUUUCUGUGUUGGUUAAUCAUUAGAGUAAUCAUGAUAUCGUUGCCUUGGACAGGGUUUUUGACGCAUAGUUAUGUUCCCAUGAUAUUUGCGAACUUUUACCAGUGAUUUGGUACUUCUAGUAGGCACUUCUAUUUACAUUAUACACAUUAACGCGUAGACCGGCACUUAUAUGUAUCAUCUUCAUCUUAUACUAUUUAAGAAAAACAAUUUAAAUAGAAGAAAUGCAAUAUAUGAACUCGAUAGAUAGUGAAGAUAUAAAUAAGAGAAUUUGUAGAAGAUUAAUAAUAUCUUAAUAUAAAAAAUAAAAUUAAUAGAGGAAAUGUGUGGAAGUUUAUAGUAGUUAUUAAUAAGAGAGGUUAUAAAGGAUAAUUUUGGAAUAUAAAAAUUAGGUCAUGGUGGUGGUUAUUAUUUGUUUUGGCUUUUAUUAAUAGUAUAGAUAUAGAUAAGACAUCACUACUCACCCAAAUUUUAAUAACCUUACAACCCUAACUUCUAAACAUACCCCUCUUAUUUGCGUCUACUCUCUUCCUCUUUCUUGUUCCUACUGUCACGAACAAUAGUAAUCAAUUGAUUGUCUUGUGGCCUAAAUAUUAUGUUUUCAAAUCCUGAAAAGACUCUCCUCACUGGGUCAUCUUUUAAAAAAGAUGUUGAACUUCAUUGCAAAGCUUCGGUUGUUUGCUUUGUGGUUUCAAGGCCAUGUGCAUGAUCGAACAAACUUGAUAGCUUUUCAUUUGAUUUUUCUAAAAAACAACAAACAUUCCUUCAUUUUUGUUCUAAUUUUCAAAACUAAUUCCAUUAACAAUAAAUUGAUAAAUAUUAUAUGUAUAAUAAACUUUUGUAAAAAAAUUAUUUGCUAAAUAAUCAGUUUUUGUUGUAGUUUAUUGCUUUUUAUUUAAGUUUUGUUUCUCACAAUUUAAACUCAUUUAAUUAUAAUCCGCAAUUACUCAUAGCAAAUUAUGAAUCUGAUUAUUUUAGAGCGUGCUUAAGUAGCUGUUUGUAAAAUAUAUUUUAAAUGAAUUUGAUUUUGUAAAAUAUAUUUUAAAUGAAUUUGAUUUUUUAAAAUAUAUUUUGAUUAUAAUCGUGUUUGAUUUUUUAUGCUAAAAUUACUUUGAUGUAAAAUUGUAAUGUAAAUUAUAUUGAUAUUUGGAGAGUUAGUUUGUGAGUUAGGUUAUGAAUGAAAAAUAAAUAAGUUAGAAGCUAUAUAAGACAUGAAAUUCACUAAUAAACUCUGAAUUAUUUUCUCUCUAUUCCAAAAUCACACACUUAACUUUAGGAAAAUCAGAAAACAUUUAUUCUUCUUACAAGAGAUUAUUUAAGCAAUUUUGUUUUGAAAAAUGAAGUUAUUAAACUCUUUCUAAUUUUUAAUCUUGCACAAAUCACAACAUUUUAAUUUUAGUGCAUUAAUUAUCACAUCCCAAUGGCUGAUACUACUGGGUAAGCGAGCGUAUCUGGGAACUCUUAACUCUGUUUAUUAUCCCAUCCUCUCUAUCAUACAAUCGCAAAAAUUCAAUCUUUCCACUUUUCCACAUUCAACCUCAAAACUUGAUGCUACAAUAAAAUGAAUAAGAACAACCAUACACGGUUCCAAUUCCAGUGUCUGUAUCAAAUAAUUCAUACUGGAAACGUAGAAGCCAUUAAAGCUCUACACAGAAAUGGUGCCAGCCUUGAGGUAUAUGACACAAAUUUAUAUAUAUUUUUUCUUAUCCGUUUUUAUGAGUUUUGAGUAAUAGAAUUCAUAUAUGCAGUGGAGUGAUGAAGAAGGAAGGACCCCUUUAAUAUUGGCAUGUAUGGACUCUGCACUUCUUCAUGUUGCUAAGUUUUUGAUUCAUUUGGGUGCCAAUCUUAACUCUUACCGUCCUGGUAUGUAGCUUCUGUUCCUUUUCUAUUUUUUCUUUUACUAAUUUUCAAUUCGUAUAAUUUUAUGAUUCAAAUCCCGGAGACAGCCUUUUAGUUUGCGGGGAAGUGUGUAUCUGCACUCUCGAGACUCCACUGAGUUGCCCUUUAAUAUUUUCAUUGCAUAAAUUAAAGGGGGAAUCUAAAAAUGCCCCUAAACUUUAGUCCCUGAAUUUCAAAAUUGUGUAAGAUGAUACUAAACCCUGGUUGGGGUGCAAAAUACAAUUUUUCUAAGAUUUCAGGGAACGAGAUCCUCUAUCUCAAAAUCACUAUGUCCUCAUAUCCCUAGCCGAUCAGCAUCCUCCAAGUAAUAUAAAUCAAAUUUAGGGUCCUUUUUACACUUUUUUCCAAUCAUGUCCCUAGCCAAGCUCCCUUUUAUUUAUUUUUCAAAUUUAGGGUCUAAAUCAAAUAUGUCAAGAAAAGUUUCAUGACUGUUUUUUGGAUUUUUCCCUUAGUUGAACUCAAUAAGGAUUUAGUUGUUAUACGUGAUUCGUGUAAGAGUUUUUAUACCGCUAAUCAAUAAUAUCAAAUGCAUGAUGGGUUGUUAGUGUAAAAAUAUAUGAUUAUAUUGCACCAAAUUUAACUUCUAGAAAAUGUCAUGUUACUUUAACUUAAUUUUUAUUUCAACCUUUUGUGAAGGAAAUGAACAAACAUAAAAAAAAUGUUUUUACUUGUAAAUAAAAAGCAAAUUGAAAAUUAUAUGAUAUUUUUGCAAUUAUAAAUGAGAACAUCUUGUUGGAAUCUCAUAUUGUCAUGCUAUUUCAAGAUUCAAUUUAUAAUAAUUGACCAACGAAUAUAAUAACUCAACUGAACAUUGUCUUCAAUUCCUUAUAUAUAUUAUAGGGCCUUUUGGUGGCACUCCUUUGCAUCAUGCUGCUAGAAGAGGUCUAGAGCAAACUGUUGAGCUGCUUCUAUCUCACAAAGGUUCUUCUCAUU